UCAUUCAAAUACAAGUAUCAAUUUCAUUCAAAUGGUCACUAUUAUCCAUUACAAUGUCCAUUCCAUGAGAAAGAAUACAAAAAAAUGAACUUUGACCAAAUGUUGACUUUAGUCAGUAGUUGACUUUUUGGUCAACUUUGACCAAAGUCAACUUAAUCAUUUUACAUCCCAAAAACCCUAAAUUCCCAUCCUAAGCCAUAAAUCCUAUUUUUAUUUUCCAAAAUUGAUCCUUGAUAUUGGAGGUUCCCUUUUGCCCAUGUUAAUCCAAAAUCCCAUUUUGAAGUCAUGUUGCAAACCUUUGUCUAACCAUCCAUUUCAUGGCAUGCAUGACCUACAUGGACCACUGCCAAAACAUGAGUGAAAUCAGUAAGUAUGUAAUGCAAGCAAGUUUCAUAAAACCACAAAGUCAGCUAUCCUUACAUUGAAGUGUGCUAAAUCAGAAUUGGAGUUAGCUAUGUACAACAAGAUACAUGCUGUAGAAAACAAACACAUGCUAGCAAGAAAUAGAAAAAUAUCAUGAGCAAUGCACAAAAGAUAGUCCUACUACAUCACAAUCACGUGUCAUGGCUGAUGGAUCUUAGAGGAUUCAGUAGUUGGUUUUUUCUUACAUGGUGCAUUCCAUUAGCCUUUCACUUGAUGUUGUAGUAGUUGGCUUCUCAUUGAUGUUGCAUUCCACCUGUAGUAUCAUACAACAGUCCAGUUGCAAACAUCAACUAACCAAGCAACAUUCACAUUGCAUUUCCAACACCAGAACAUUCUGCAUCAUCAUCCAACUGUCAGCAAACAAUUAACCUACAACACACUUGUUGCAAUGCAAUGAAACAUAAACCAAAUGCAAUACAAAAGCCUAUAAUUUAUCACCAUACAUUGAAACAUGGACCAACAUGAGGCUAAAUGCUUACCUGCUCAGUGGCAAUAAUUCAGGAACAAGCUUGCAACCUUGCAACAAUCCUACAACUCACCAAGCCAUGAGCCAAGUACUAGACUUGCAGCAUAUCUAAGAUCCAAGAACAUGCAGCAGUACUGAACACGCCAAGAGGCUCAAUAUUGGAACCUAAUAACCUGCAGUGGAUAUGAGAAUCAUGAUGUCACUGCAAUGCUUUGCUCAAACUGGCUUUAACGUAUUGCUAGUAAUUAAGUCAGAACCUGCUGAACACUUUGCAAAAUCAGAACACCAUGACCUUUCAUCCAUUACUUGUUACCCUGCAAAUUGGUACAGCAAGAUGCAAUUGGCAAUGCACCAAUCCCGCAUCCUGCAACAUUCAACACAACACCCUUGUGACAAACCAUAAAUCUGCCAAGACACUGUCAAUAACCAACAGAAAUAUGUCAUGCAUCAUAUGCAAAAACCAACCAAGUUAUGUUGCCUAAACCUGACCUGCACCACUUCAUGACACCAACCUGUAAUGCAACAAAUUCAAAGUUCAUAUGACAUCCCUGCAUGAAUAAAGUCGUAUAGAAACAACAACGUUGAGAGUCAAGAGAUAACAACAUUGAGAGGUCCUUGCAUUUUAAGUAGAUAAUUCCAUUGAGACUACUUCAUACUAACAUUAACAGGUGCAUGAACAAACUCACCAUUAUCCAAACAUAACCACACAUUAGUUAACCUACAGUUGCAAGUCACACCUAAGCUCAUUUGUUACACCUUGCACCUAAGCCAAUUAAAUAACAGGUCAUUAUUCAAACUGUAACCUACAAUGGCCAGCCAGAAGCAGAAUUGGACUUGAACUCAUUCCACUCAACUAACUAAUUAACUGAGUUUCUAAUUCCCUAACUAACUGAGUUAUCAGUUAACUCAGUGAGUUGAUCCCAACAAACUCCAAGCCUAAAUUCCAAGCCUACUCUAAUCCGAGCCUAACAUUUGUUUAAUCAUCAUCAUCAUCAUCAUUUCAGCACCUUGGAAUCAUUACCCUCAAGCUCUCCAACUCUCUAUGAACCCUCUCCCUCUCACACUCAAAGCUCAAUUCCCAAACUCCAUUGAAGCUUCAGGAAGAGAGAGCUUAGCCAUUCAUCAAUCUCAAUUCAAUCAUACUACUAAGAUUCAGAAGAAGAAGAGUUGGUUUGGAAGAAAAAGCAAAAUCAGAAGAAGAGAAAUACAAGAUCGUACUUGUUAAACAAGUGAUUUUCCGUCUUCAUCUUCUCCAAUCAACACUCUCCUGAGUAAGUCUCAGCUUCGGAGGCAGGUCCCUCCUCAUUAUUUCUUCACAUUCUGAUUACCUUGCUAUACCUUAUAAUAAUCUGAUGCAAAGCCCUAUCAUGAGGAGCUUCGAAUCUUGUUCAUGGAUGUGUAAUUUAGGAUUGAGUUCUUAGGGUUCUUGAGGACAUUGUUCCGGUGUUGGACCUAGGCUAAAAAUUAGGGGAAUUAGAGGGUGGAUUCAUGAUCAGGAGGUGGAGACGGAGAUAAAGAUAGAUGGAAUUUUAAUUUCUGGUAGCCACCGCCACCGGAGGCAAUUUCUGGCGCGGUGGCCUAUGGUGGAGUUCAGGUGAUGUGAUAUGAGAUAGCUUUAAUGAGAGCGCCUGUGUUUAGGUCAUUUAAAAUCUGUUGACUUUUUGCUAGGCAAAAUCCCCUCCAUUAAGUUGCUUCUGGAUGGGCUUGGUUCAUCCAAGCCCAAUGAGAAGUUUGUUGUCGCCCCAAUUCUUGCUCCUACACCCCCAUGGCAAGAAACAAAAACCCAUUGGGCUUGCCUUGAAGGCCCAUGCACCAGAUUUAGUUCUUUACCCUGUUUUCAGGGCCUGCACUCCCUUUGGCCCAUUUUUUAUUUGCCUUUAAUUUCUCUUUCUAAUCUUGCUUUGUUAUUUUAGUUAAUUGUUUUUUAGCAUUUUAAUUUUGGUUAAUUAGGUUAAUUAGGCUAAUUAGGAUAUUAAAAUUAGGAUUUUACUUGAUUAGAAUUUAGAAAUACUUAUGUUAGUUUCUAAUUAGAAAUUAAUUAGCAAUAUUAACAUGUUAGGUCACAAUUAGAAAUUAGGAUAAAAUGAUUAAUUGGAUUAAUUUGUCUUGAUUAGAAAUAAUUAGGAUGAUUAACCUUUAAUUAGAUUUAAUCCUAGUAUAAUUCUCAAAUUGGAUAUACCAUGUAAAAUGACCAUUUUACCCUUUUAGGUUUAUUUUGGUAUUUUGACCUUAGAAAUGCUUGAUCCCCUAGGAUUAAUCUGGAUAUAUAAUUUUACUCAAGUUUCAACAAUCGCAUGAUCCUUUAGAAUAAUUUCUAACAAAUUCAAACCAUUAGAUUAGGAGUAACCUAGUUCUCAAAAUCAAUUCAAACCCUCGAUUCAAGUUGUAUAAUUUUGAUCAGCUAAAUCCUUUGAUAUUGUAUAAUCCCACAGUCUAAUUGGUGUGACCAAAAGACCAUUGGUCACUUAGUAAGACUUUUUAUGUAAGUUGUGGAGCUCGAAGCCCUAAGUCAGACUCUCAAUCAAGGCAUCCUCAGUCAUACAAAGUAGUGGACUAUACCACCAACUUAUCAAUCAUGAUUCAAGUUGUAUGACACGAGCCUUAAGAAAUAGAGAAUGAAUUAGAGUGAAGGAUUCCAUUAACUCAUUUUGAAUAUCUUUGGGUACGGGACACUUGACCCAGUUGCUUAUUGUAUUCACCUAUAUUCAUAGAGUUUAAUGCAAUUCGAAUCGAACUAUUGAUAAGGUCUUCAUCAUUACAAGAAGCAAUAAAGAUUCCUCUCCAACUACUUGAAAGUUAGGAUGAGAAUCACAUGUCACGAGCCUUACGUAGUAAAGAAGGGAUGAGAACGGAGCAUCCUUACCCUCAUUCUGGAUAUCUUUGGGUGCAGGAUGCUUGACCCGGCUGCUCAAUGUACCCACCUUUACUCAUAUACUUUAGGGUGGUUCUUACCAAAUAACUAUCAAGUCUCUUCCAUAUUCAUUCGAUCAUCUUUUGCCUCAAUCAUCUUGCUUUCAUCCCUAGUGGGUUGAACUACGAAAGCUCUGAUUUUCUCAUUGCACAAUGAGAAUACGUAGGCAAGAGAAUUCAUUCUUCGCGAGCUACCCUAUUUAUUAACACUCCAUUCUCCAUUCAUUAAAUUAUACCAUCUUUUUAAGAUCAAAUAUACUUCUCCUUAGACUCCUUGUACAUCCUUUUAGGACGAUAUAACAGUAGUCCACCUCAAGAACCAAGAGUUUUUUGGAUCAUCCUCAAAAAUUUAAUUCAUUCUUUUUUGGCUAAGUCGCCUGUUUACUCUUUGGUUCAGAGUCUAUUCCUUCAUGAAUCCAAGAUAUAGUUCUUCUUUGAUCUCAAACUGAUCAUUCCCCAUCAAGUGAUACACUGUUCCUUGUACCCAACAAUACUUCUUUUGGGCCCCGCAUAUACCCUUUUAGGAUGAUAUAACAACAAUCCACCUUGCGAACCAAGAGCUGUUUAGAUCGUCCCCAGACAUUGAACUCACCUUGUUUUUGGCUAUACCAUAUAGUGGCAUCUUAACUAGUCCACAUAUCAGUUAACUCCAGUUUUACUAUUUGGUUCCAAGUUCUUUUCAUUUGUGGGUUCCCUUGAUACCAUUGUGUUGGUGCAAGUUAUACUUUUCAUCACUUUCAAUCUCUCUCCCUUGUUCUUGUGGUUCCAUGAACUACAAUUGCUCUGACUUUCUCAUUGCACAGUGACAAUACGUAGGCACGAGGAUGCGAAUCCUUGGAGAGCAUAAUCCUAAUUAUUCCUUCUUUCUCCCUAUGGAACCAUUCAUAUCUUUCAUGAUCCAUUGUCUACCUUCGAUCAUGAAUCUUUCAUCCCCGUGACAUAUUAUUUCUUUGAAAUCAGUAACACUUUCUUGGGAUAUUCCAUAUAUACCCUUUUAGAAUGAUAUAACGACAGUCCGCAUUUGUACCUAGAGUUGUUUGGCUCGUACCCAAAUAGUUAAUUCCUCAUUUUUGGCUAAGACGUCGUUUUUCUCUAUGGUACAAAACCCAUUUCUACUAUGGAUUCCAAUAUACCUUGACUUUUAGUUUCAAACUAUACCUUUUCAUUCACUUGUUACUAAAUCUACGAUUUUUGUGACUUUGGUCAUUCAUUCCAUUCAUCUCCAUGAUGCAUCCAUAUGCUACCUUCAUUCACUUCAUGUGAUAUACCUUAUUCUUUGAGUCAAAUACACUAUCUCUUUGAGCUUAAUCUUGUGUCACCUUGUGAACUAAGAUAUAUUUGGCUCGUACCCAAACACCUAAUUCUCCUUAUUUCUGGCUAUACUAUAUAGUGGCAGCUGUAGCGGUAAAUUCAUGACCAUCAAACUAUGGAUAAGUUUAACGUCAAUAAAUUCAUAGUUAAGGGAGUUGGUUACACAGAGGGAAGGUGUUAGCACCCAAAGUGUCCUACGUACUCCUAAUGAGCCCUUUUUUAUAUGUGCAUAUGUUUUUGGUAUAAAAGAAGUUUGAGCAAAAUAGAGUGUGGGGAUGAGAAAAGAAUUCAUUAAUUAUAUUUUUGCAUUUGGCAAGACCUUCGAACUUGUGCCUACGUACUAACAUAAAAAUAAGGGAUAAAAACCUCGUAGUUCGUGGUAACAAUUUCAAAGUUGGUGAAUUGCUUUUAACAAAAGGUUAAUAAGAAAGGCACAAAGCGCCAAAAGUUGAGUGAAGUUGUUAGUUCUUUUUUUUUGUCUUUUGGAAAUGUUAAGUCAAUAUGAUUAAGUUUAUUUACAAAUUUGAUUUAAGAAAAAAGUUUGAAAAUCCAUUGGCAUAAGGCCAAAGUUUCUAUUUAAAAUGAGGUCUAAGUUUGAAAUCAUAAGCAAAUAAAGUUUUUGAAAAGGUGGAGAGAUUUUGUAUAUUAAGAAAUGGGAGGAGAUGAAGAGACUAUCCUAGGCAUAAAAUUAAAAGUUAAAGUUGGAAGGAUCUGACCAAUGGGAUGCAAUCCAAUAGACUAGAAUAUCAUAUAGAAACCCAUUUUUCCUUGGACUUUGAAUCAAACAAUAAUCAAUAAGCAAUUAGCAAUAUCAGGCAUCAUGAAGAUCAAGGCAUCAAAUAAAGAUAGCCAUAUCCAAUCAAGAAAGUCCCAUAGCUAGCAAUCUUCUUUGUCCUCUCAUGUAUCAGAUGGAUUAUUCCUUGAUCCACUCAGAGAAAAAUAUCAGACACAAGAUCAAAAUAAAAAUUAAGCAUAAAGAAAGAGUAACAGAUGAAUCCAAACAAAUCCCAAGGCUUGUAUCAUAUGAAGGCUCGGUUCACAAUAACUUGGUUUCAAAAUGUUGGCAUCGGCCAAGUCCUUUUUGCACAGGGAAUGUUGCCUAAUCUUAAGUCCUAAAGUUCAAAUCAAGAUCAACAGUCCACCAAAUGUUUUUAGGGUUUUUAUUUGUUUAUUAAGUGUUUUAAGGUCCUAAGACCACAAACAAAAUCAAAAUGCACAAACAAUAUAUACAAUCACAAGAUAUGGCUCAAAUGAGCAAAGCGAAAAUGACAUAAACAUAAACAAGUUAAAUGAAAUGUAAAUGGCAAUGGAUUGUAAAUGAUUGGAAUUUAAAUUGCAUAAAGUAAAUGACUUGAAAGUAAAGAAAUAUUCAUAAGAGAUAGUCAAAUGUUAGUCAAGUGUUAGUGGUGUUUUACUUUUUAAUUGAUUAAGUCAUUCUUUGGAAAACACCCAACCAUCCAUUCACAAGCAUGGAUCCUUAAACCAAGACAUCUUCCAUAGGAAGGAAAAAGGGUCAAGUUUCCACAUAAUACCAUGAAGGAUGGGAGACUUACAAUCUCACUUACUAGAAUGCUAUGCCUUUAGGGUCAAAUUUAGCUCUAUGUUAAGCAAUCGUAAUUGGACUUAUGUAGAAGUCACAACUAUCUGAGGCCCGACAAUAAAAACUUAGAUGUUAAUGCAUGUUAGAGAUUUGGUAUAAUGAACCAAACUCCUAAAACAUACUACACACUAAAAGAAAAGAUUAAGAGGGAUGGACCUAUCUCAGUCCUACUUAUAUUGGUUCAUCUUACACAAGUUCAUUGAUGAACCAAUUAGCCAUAAGACAUUAGAGAUUUCAUUGGUCAAGGAAAGGAAUGAGAAAGAAUAGGGACGAAGAUUAAGAGGGAGGGGAGUGAGAGAGACACAAAUUGGUCAUGGUAGGAAUUUUAUCAAAUUAAGAUCAUUCAUUCAUUUUGGGAGAUGAAAUGUAUAUUUCAUCAAUCCCCUAAAUCCAAUGAUUUUAAUCCAACAAAAGUCAAAUCAACCUUGACCAAGGCCCAAACAAAUAGUCAAACAUCACAAGACCUCAAUGAUUUUAAUCCAACAAAAGUCAAAUCAACCUUGACCAAGGCCCAAACAAAUAGUCAAACAUCACAAGACCAUAAAAAUGGCUCAACAUAAUUUUUACACAUUUAAUCAAUUAAAAAUCAAAUUUAAAAAUGCAUUAAAAUACAAUUUAAUUUGGUCAAAAACUAGAAUCUCUUCAAAACACCAAAUUAUCCUAGGUCAAACAAGGUCAAAAGGCCUUAGACAAAAAAUUUCAUGAUUUUUGAAAGGUCAGAAAUAUUUUUAAACAAUUAAAAAUAUGCACAAAAACAUUUAAUUCAUGAAAAAUAUCAAAAUUAAUCCAAAAAAUAAUUUUAAUUCGGAAUAUGGAAGAGAAAAAUAUUUAAAGAUUUUUGGUGAAAGACUCAUAUUUUUUGGAUAAAAAAUGAAAUUAAUAUGAAUUAAACAAAAUAAAGCAAUUAAAUGAAAAAUCAGAAAAUGGAGGGAAGAUCUGAUGGAUAGGAGCAAGCCACCACAUCACCGGAGCCCUAGCUCUGGUUGUCUUCUCCGGUGGACCUCACCGGACUGGUCCACAACCAACCACCAUGGAAAUGAAAAACAAGGACAAACAUAUAAAGAAAAAAUGCUCAGGAGCUCGAAUCUGGCUUCAAUUUCCUCCAAUUCCAAGUAUAUCAAGAGAUACAUGGAUUUGAAUUUUGAGGAUCAUGAACUGAGUUGCUUUGAUUUGACCUCAAAGCAACUCAAUCUUGUUGCCUACAUUGGUAGGACUUCAACCUACCAAAAAUCACAAAGAAUAGUGAAGAAUUGAGAGAGAAUCGAAGAGAUGAAAAUUCUGAAAAAUCACCUUCGAAUGAGCUUCAACCUUGAUAGAUCUUGCUUCCAAUUGUCUUUGGCUUGGCUUCAGAAGCUUGUAGAAGGUGAAUUGGACCAAAGAAAAGCUUGGACUCUUGGAGUUUCAAUCACAAAACAGAAUGAGAGUUGAAGCUCGAUUUUCAAAUGAAAACCUUCAAGAUUAUCCUUUAAUGGUUAGGGUUUGGAUUGUAGGUUCAAAGCUUGGUCAUGAGGUCCUUAAUUUUGAGCCAAGAGGGUUGUAUUUAUAGGCCUUGCAUUUGAUUUUCACACACUUCCAAAAUUUGCCAAAUUUAGUAAUUUGUAUUGCAUGCUUGCAUGGGUGUGUGAUAGGCCCAUCAAGUGAUGUAUUCAGGUCCAAAAUUGCUUGUGUACAAUUCUGAAAUCAUGUGAUGUGGCCAUGUAUUUGAAAUUGGAAAGUGAAGGUGAAAUUCAUCCAAAUGGACCUUUGGAAAGAACCCAUGCGCAAGUCCUUUGAUUCUUGGCCAAAUGAGAUGAUCUUAGACCUUUUGGAAAGGUGAGAUCAAAGGGAACAACUUUAAUGUUGAACACUUUUCCAUUUGGUGCUUGGAUCAUGAUAAAUUUUAAAGUGGAAGUUUGGAAAAUCAAACACAUUUAAAAACUUUCUAAGUACCAAGUCAAAUGUUCACUUUUUCCACCUUGAAUAACAUUUGCUAUGGACUUCAAAUGGAAAACUUUCCUUCAUAAAAGUUGUAGGUCUUUCAAACCUAUUCAAUUUCAUCAUAAAUUUAACCUCAUUUGGAUUUGGCAUGAAGGAGUUAUGCAUUUUAGAAGUUAAGGAUAAUCACUUGUUCAAUGGUAAUGACCCAAAAUGACCUAUAAUGUUUCCUCUUGGCACAUGCAUUUCAAGUUGAAUUCAAACUUAUUCCAAGCAUAAAGGUUAAAGAGGACAUCUUGAAUUUAAUCAUGGAACUUGAAUGGAUUUCAUAUAAUAAAAAUUGAGCAAGUUAUGGUCCUUGGAAGUUGACCUCCUAACUAGGGUUCAGACAAAAUGACCUAUAUUCUUUCCCCAUAAAAAACGACUUUCCAAGCAAAAUCAGUUCUUGACUUAAACAUAAAAGUUGUUUGGAAUGUCAUAGGAGUAACUUUUCUAUUGGGAUCACUUUCAUAUGAUAAUAAUUGUAGGAGAUAGGGUGUAUGGAACCCCAGUUUUGACCAGUUGACUUUCUCUAGUCAACCACCACGAACCAUAUAGCAAAUUUGACAUUCCCUUGAUAUUUGGGACUCAUGGAGGAUCAUAUAUGUGUAAGAUGAUGUAAUAAGAAGUAUCCCUUGAAAUAUUUGAACAAAUUAUGAAGAAACUUACCGAGGAAGUCACACAAGAUACCCAGAUAAAUUUGGGCUUCCAAGGCAAACAAGCUUCAAACUCUUGAUGAUUUCUUGAUCAAAAUGAUAUGUGAAUAUCAUGGGGAUCCAUAUAUGAUGUCUAGAGUCAAUGUGAAGCAUCUCUUUAUUAGUCUCCUUGUAUUUAGGGUCUCAAACCCUAAAUAUGAGCUUGAUGGAGCAUGAGUGAACUCACACACUACCUACAAAAUCAACAACCAUACAUUGACAUAUUUUUGGUAUUUUGGUUAGUAAAUAAUAAGAAACAAAGCAUGAUACAAGCAAAUGUGCUUGGUGACCUCUCACAAUGCAAACCCGAUGAAUGAGGGGUAAGGAGAAUGACAAGGUGUGAUCCCAAAGCCAAUGCAUAUGAUGAGAUAGCAUGAGGGAUCUUAGGGUCAAAAUUGGGGUCUUACAGCUGCCCCUAUUUAAGAACAUUCUAACUGAGGAUGCAAAGACUAAAAUAUUCGUAUCAAAUCAGUAUAAUGGACUUAAAUAACAACAUAUAGAAAAAAAAAUUGGUCCCUAAGAGAGCUUAUGAUGCAUAUGAUAUGAAUGUUAAAAGUAAUCUUUGUGGGGAAAAUAUUGCCACAAAAGAAAAGAAUCCUGAGAGAAUGAAAGUCCACAAGAGCAUAAUACAUUCCAUAAGGAAAGCUCACUGGGGAGACAGAGACUCUGAGGAUAAAAGGUUAUGCAUAGGUUAGGACAUGUCUUAAAAACUGCUGGAGACACGAAGGGGAUUUCUAUGAAAAUAAAUCAAUGGAAGGACUAUGUCUGGGGAAUAAGGGAAAACAUGCAGGGGAAACGGGUAAAUCAGAACAAAACUGAAAUACUCGAACCAAAUAGGGGAUUGGCAACUUCACUGGGGAAAUACACACUCAAACUCAAUUGGGGAAGAAUGAAAUUCAACACAGGAGUACCUGAAGUAUAUUAUCUAUUAUCGGUUACUGGGUAGGAAGAUAAUGUACUAUAACAGAGGGACACCCGUUACCGAUUAGGGUAAACAUAUCAAGGAUGACUCGCUGAGGAAAAAGAAGUCUAUUCGUUACUGGAUAUUGGGUAAGAACAACCUACUGAGAAAAAGGUCAAAUAGGAUUUACAACUAUCGGUUACUGGGCAGAAGACCAAAGAGAGGAGAAAAUCCGUCAUCGAUUAAGAUGAACAUAUCAAGGAUAGACUCAAAGGAAGAAUAUUCGUCAUCUGUUAGGAUGAACAUAUCAAGGAUAGACUGUCGGGAAGAAAAAUAGGAAUUAUAUCUAUCAGUUACUGGAUAGAAUACUAAAGAAAAUAUCUGUCAUCGGUUAGGAUGAACAUAUCAAGGAUAGACUGCUUGGGGAAACGUGAAAACGAAUUCGUUAGGGAAAGCAAAGGAAGUAGAUUACAUUUUACCGGGUAUUGGGCAAAAAUAAUGUACUCAAAAAUUGAGAAGAAUAUUACCAGUUACUGGGUAACAUAUUCUCAAGGGACCAAAACAUUCAUCUAGGUAGUAACUAGAAAGAAAUGAUCAAACAAUGACUUAACCCAAUUAGGAUAUAACUCAAGGGGAGUGGUUCCAUCCAGAUAGUUAACUGGAGAGGAAACUGAAGCAAUAAUCAUCCACGAGGAAAUAACUCAGCAGGGAGAUAAGAAAGGUUAAACUCUUUCUGCUUAAGGGGCUGACACUCUAUAAUUGAAGGAGGACAGACACACCAAUCCUGUAUGGGGGAAUAAUAUCACCGUAGCAGGGGAUCAGAAAUAAGGAAUAAAAUGCAGUAAAAUGCAUAAUGAAAAUAUCUGAUGUUGUGCUUUAUGCAUGAAUAUGUAUGUAUAUGAUUAUAAUUAUGCUGACAAAACAAUCCCAAAGGAUACAAAUAUCACAAAUUUGAAUCAUCGUUGUAACACUCGGAUAAUAUCAACAAGAUGGAAACACCAACUGGAGCAAAAUGUUGGGGAUGAAAGAUAAAUCAACUAGCUCUGAGUAACUCAAUCCUGGUUGGGGGGAGAGAGAAAAGAUCAGCUGAGGACUCAACUUUGCGAGGAAGUUUAGGCCAACACCAUAUCGAAUGGGCAACAACCUAGUAGGGGAUCAAACGUUGCUCAAGAUCAAAUACUGUCAGGAACAAGAGAUCUUCGAUAUUUGAAGAUGAACUCCACCGGGGAAUACAGGAGAUAAAACUUUGCAUGAGGUCUGGGCCAAUUCCUGACAAUGAGACCUUACUACUCAACUGGGGGAAAUGGUUUGCAAAAGGGACUGAUCACCAGCUCCACUCUACUAGGGGUAAAUGACAAACUGUUUGGGAAAAAUCAAUCAAACCCACUGCUUGGGGACGACAAACAAGGCUUCGCAUGUCAAGACUUACCUGUUCUUACACUACCGUUGAUAUUCCUUCCUGAAAUAUAUUGUUCUUAAAGUAAUUGCUUUUAUAUUCUUAAGAAAAAUGAUUUUAAUUUAUUAAUUUAUUUCAAAGUUAUCAUCAUAAAAAUUCAAUUUUAUUUAGCUGAAAUAAACAAGAGUAGAAACAAUUGGAUAAAAAGCUCAACUUUAUUUAAUAGGAUGGUUGUCUGUAAAUGACAAGACUCCAUAGAUCUUUACAAAAAGUUGAAAAUGGUAAUUUACAUGGAAAAGGGCUACAUUGAAUACAAUGAUCACUACUCCUCCUACCAACUUCAAUAUUCGCUGUGCUCUUGGCUUUGGUUGAGAAUAAUGAAUCAUAACCAAAUGAUAUGCUCAAAACUGUCUAAAGGACUAGGACCAACCGAAUGCAGUUACUUGCCAUAAUCCCUAAUUUUUGCCUAGAUUUCCCCAAGGUGGGGUGCUCAAUCUACUGGGAUAAAUUUCUGUUUUAUGUCUCUAACUUUUUUCUGGAUCGCCCUUUCGGGUUUUCAACCCACCGAGACGCUCAUUUUUUCCUAAGCCUCCCUUUCGGGUUUUCAACUUAGUGAGGUGUUCUUUUCUUUUUAGGCGAAGUAUUUCUUGACUGCAUCGGCAUUCACAGGACGGGUGAACUCUUCACCGUCCAUAGUUGUUAGAAUCAAAGCACUGCCUGAAAAGGUUCUCUUAACAACAUAUGGGCCUUCAUAGUUAGGAGUUCAUUUGCCCCUAACAUCAGGUUUGAAAGAUAAAAUCUUCUUGAGCACAAGGUUACCUUCUGUAAACACACGGGGUCUUACCUUCUUAUCAAAAGCUUUAUUCAUUCUCUACUGAUACAACUAACCAUGACACAUGGCAAUCAAUCUUUUCUCUUCAAUCAAAUUCAGAUGAUCAUAUCUGGUCUGACACCAUUCAACUUCUGUCAACUUGGCUUCCAUUAAGACACGCAAUGAUGGGAUCUCAACCUCCACUGGGAGCACAACUUCCAUGCCAUAAACGAGAGAGAAAGGGAUUUCCCUUGUUGAAGUGCAGAUGGAUGUACGGUACCCAUGCAAAGCAAAUGCGAGCAUCUCAUGCCAAUCCUUGUACGUCACAACCAUAUUCUGAAUGAUCUUCUUGAUGUUCUUAUUUGCAACUUCAACAACCCCAUUCAUCUUAGGUCUGUAGGGAGAAGAAUUAUGAUGUGCAAUCUUGAAGUCUUUGCAAAGAGCUUCCACCGUAUUAUUAUUCAAGUUCAAUCCAUUAUCAGUAAUGAUCUUACUUGGCACACCAUAACGACAUAUAAUCUGAUUCUUGAUAAACCUUACAACAACUUGCUGUUACAUUUGCAUACGAUGCCGCUUCAACCCACUUUUUGAAGUAAUCAAUAGCCACCAAAAUGAAACGAUGUCCGCUAGAAGCUUUGGGCUCAAUCACGCCAAUCAUAUCAAUUUCCCACAUGGAGAAGGGCCAUGGAGAGAAAUGACUUUCAACAGUGCCGGAGGAACAUGAAUCUUAUCUGCAUAAAUUUGACACUUAUGGCAUUUCUUUUCAAACUUGCAACAGUCAAAUUCCAUUGUUAGCCAAUAGUAACCUAUUCUCAACAUCUUCUUUUCCAUAGCAUGUCCAUUGGAAUGGGUACCAAAGGAACCUUCAUGGAAUUCAGUCAUCAAUAAGUCUGCUUUGUGUCUAUCCAUGCAUCUGAGCAAAACCAUAUCGAAGUUUCUCUUGUAAAGAACAUCACCAUUCAGGUAAAAGUUUCCAGCUAAUCUUCUCAAAGUCUUCUUAUCUUUCAAAGAUGCCCCAGGCGGGUAAAUCUGACUUUGGAGGAAACACUUGAUAUCAAAAUACCAUAGCUUUUCAUCUUUGACUUCUUCAACAGGAAAUACAUGAGUUGGGCUAUCAAGAUGCAUCACAGUCAAAUUGGGAAAUUCAUUCCAAAAUUUCACCACAAUCAUUGAAGCCAACGUUGCAAGAGCAUCAGCCAUUCGGUUUUCAUCUCGAGGGAUAUGAUGAAACUCAACCUUUGCAAAGAAAGUUGAAAUCCUCCUCUCAUAGUCUCUAUAUGGUAUCAAACUGGGUUGGCUCGUCUCCCAUUCACCUUUGAUCUGAUUCACAACCAAAGCUGAAUCUCCAUAGACAUCAAGAUAUUUGGUUCUGAGAUCAAUGGCCUCUUCAAGCCCCAUAAUGCAAGCUUCAUACUCAGCCAUGUUGUUUGUACAUUUGAAAAUUAAUCUAGCUGUAAAUGGAAAAUGAGUGCCUUGAGGAGUAAUGAUCACUGCUCCAAUGCCAUUACCAUACGAAUUAACAACUCCAUCAAAUACCAUGCCCCAACGGGAACCAGGUUUCAGCCCCUCUUCAAGCAAAGGUUCAUCACAAUCUUUCAUCUUCAAGAACAAAAUAUCUUCGUCAGGAAAAUCAUACUGCACUGGCUGAUAGUCUUCAAUUGGUUGGUAAGCCAAAUGGUUAGCCAAGUCACUACCUUUGAUAGCUUUCUGAGAUCGGUAUUGAAUAUCAUACUCGAAUACAACAUCUGCCAACGGGCAACCCUCCCAGUUAGAGCAGGCUUCUCAAAAAUGUACUUGAUUGGAUCCAUUUUGGAUAUAAACCAAGUAGUAUGAUUCAAUAUAUAAUGGCGCAGACGCUUAUCAGCCCAAGCCAAUGCGUAGCAUGUCUUUUCAAGAAUAGAUUACCGAGUCUCACAGUUGGUGAAUUUCUUAGUGAGGUAAUAAAUUUCAUACUCUUUCUUUCCAAAUUCAUCUUGCUGACCAAGAACACAACCCAUACUCUCAUCAAGCAUAAUUAAAUACAUGAUCAACGAUCUUCCUUCAACAGGCGGAGACAAAAUUGGAGGUUCAAGCAGAUACUCUUUGAUACUGUCAAAUGCUUUCUGGUAAUCUUUGGUCCAAUCACAAGACUGAUCUUUCCGAAGAAGCUUGAAUAUAGGCGCACAUGUGACAGUCAUAUGCGAUAUAAAUCUUGAGAUAUAAUUCAAGCGGCCGAGAAAACCUCUAACUUGCUUCUUAGUUUUAGGCGCAGACAUCUCUUGUAUUGCUUUGACCUAGGCAUGAUCAACUUCAAUACCCUUCUCACAGACAAUAAAUCCCAACAACUUACCAGAACGAACACCAAAAGUACACUUAUUGGGAUUCAAGAGGAGUUUGUAUUUCCUCAAACAUUGGAAUAACUUCAAUAAAUGCUCAACAUAUUCUUCUUCAUCACUUGAUUUAGCAAUCAUAUCAUCAACAUAGACCUCAAUCUCUUUAUGCAUCAUAUCAUGAAAAAGAGUGGUCAUAGAUCUCUGGUAUGUUGGAUCAACAUUCUUUAAACCGAACGACAUCACUCUAUAACAGAAUGUUCCCCAGGGUGUAAUGAAUAUGGUCUUCUCCAUAUCUUCAGGUUCCAUCUUGAUCUGAUUAUAACCGAAAAAUCCGUCCAUAAACGAAAAGAUUUUGAAUUUAGCUGUAUUGUCUACUAGCAUGUCAAUGUGUGGCAGAGGAAAAUCAUCUUUUGGACUAGCUUUGUUCAGAUCUCUAUAAUAAACACAUAUGCAGACUUUUCCAUCUUUCUUAGGAACAUGCACAAUAUUGGCCACCCACUGCAGAUAUUCAGAGGUAACAAGAAAACCAACAUCAAUCUGCUUCUGCACUUCCUCUUUGAUCUUAACUGCCAUAUCAGGACGAGUUCUUCUCAACUUCUGCUUGACCGGCGAGCAUUCUGGCUUCAAUGGCAAUCUAUGCUCCACAAUCUCAAAAUCCAAACAAGGCAUGUCUUGAUAGGACCAAGCAAACGCAUCUGAAUAUUCUCGAAGAAGAUCAAUCAACCCCUUUUUAGCCUCUAGACACAGUUGAUACCCAAUCUUGACUUCCUUCACAUCAUCUUCGGAACCCAAGUUGACUAGUUCAAUCUGCUCUUCGAACGGCUGAAUGCCUUUUUCCUCAUGCUCAAGUAAACGAGAUAAGUCAUCAGAUAUUUCUUCAUCAUCAGUCUCUUCCUCAACUUCAAACAUAGGGAAAUUAAAGUUUGGAGAGGGAGUAGGAUCAUUGUAUUCAAUUGGUUUGAGAACCAACCUGCAUAAUGAUUUGAUAUUUUGAUUUUAGAGAAGUGGAGUGCGACCAAAUAUUAUGUAGAUGGAAGAUUAUUAUUUAUUCAUGUUUUUUGUGAUUACCAUUUUCAGAAAGGCAAAAAGUAAAAAUAAAACAUCAUAGAUGUGGAUGAAUAAAAUUGUCUUUUGAUGAUAAUAAUAAUAGAAAUGCCUAACAAUGUUCAAUUCUCCCUUAGGCAUUGGAGAAGGAUUUUUUUCUUAAAAUGAGAAACAAAUUACUUAAAGCGAUGAAUAAUAGUAGGAACAUCAAUAGCAACCCAAUUGUUGCAAGUAUGGCCAUGCAUCACAAAGUUGGCGCAAGCUUCAUCUUCGUCAUUACAGUCUUCAAUCACAGCAGCUGGGUGUUGAUCAUUCCCAUGAAUGAACCCUCCACUGCGGAAACUUGGUUGCAUACCUUCAGUUCUGACGUUGAAUGAACCUGGUUGAAAUCCCAAUCCAGCUCUAUUCUUGUUCUCAAUAAUCUCUAUCAUACGACCCCAUUGAUCAAUGUUGCCAGCCUCAAUAGCCUUUUGUGCAUCUUUUAAAGAAGACAUGGGCGCCCCAGUUUUCUUCUCUUCAGCAAUAGACAACGCUUGAACGACGUUCCAACCUCCUCCUCAGCUUCAGCAUAUGAAAAAGAUGACAAAUGGCUUACCAAUAGUGGCUUCUCUCCACCAACAACGAAAAUCUUUCCGUUCUUCAUAAAUUUUAGCUUUUGGUGUAUUGUAGACGUGACAGCUCCUGCUUCAUGAAUCCAUGGCCUUCCCAAUAGACAAUUGUAGGCCGGUGGUUAUCCAUUACCUGGAAAUUAAUCUAGAAAUCACUCGGACCUAUCUUCAUCGGAAGGUCCACUUCACCAAUGACAGUUUUACGAGAACCGUUGAACGUUUUAACAAUUACGCCACUGUAUCUCAUUGUGGCACCUUGAUAAGAAAGUCUAGACAUAGUUGAUUUUGGAAGCACAUUCAGUGAUGACCCAGUAACAACCAACAUAUUGAACAUAGCGUCCUCCUUGCAAUUCAUCGAAAUAUGCAAUGCCAAAUUGUGAUUUCUGCCUUCCUCAAGAAGCUCCUCAUCACAAAAGCUCAAGUUAUUGCAAGAAGUAAUAUUAGCAAUAAUAUGGUCAAACUGAUCCACAAUCACAUCAUGAUUCACAUAAGCCUACUCAAGCACUUUCUGCAAUGCCUCCCUAUGUGCCUCAGAGUUCAUUAAUAGUGACAACACAUAGAUCUUUGACGGAGUCUGGAGCAGCUGUUCUACAACAUUGAACCCGCUUCUUUUGAUCAAUUUCAAAACUUCAUCAUCAUCACUAGCCUUCAUUUUGCUGGAUUCACCAAACUGACACACCGAAGUACUAACCGGAUUCGCUAAUGGAAUUUAUGCCUUCUUGCUUGCUACAACGUCUUUUACCUCUUUCGGAAAAACCGUACGAACACACGACCACUACGGGUCACCUUUGAAAUAUCAUCAAUAUUCACCAUAGAGUUUGCAACUGGUAUAGGAAUUUCUUGACCAUUCUCUAUCAUUGUGGCAUUAUAUUGAUAAUGCACAACUUUAUCGGAUGUAUACGGAACAGGGCCCGCUAACCGUAUAGCCAACAGUGACUAGAUAACUACCCGCUCAGAGGUCUUGAACACAGGCACAAUUACAUUCACAUCAUCUAUAUCUCUUGACUAGAAAAUUUGAAUAAGUCCUUCAUCCAUCAACCUCUGAAUAUCCCUCUUGACAAUAACACAUCCAUGAGGGUUCACACUGCAUAUCACACAACCAUUAUGGUCAUGCUUACAGUCACUGAGCAAACAGAUAUCUUUAUGAAUUUCCACCAAAGAUUGUCUGAUAUGGCGAACAUCAUAAACCUUGUACUCACUAGUACAACCAUCUACCAUAUUGACAAAAGCAUUACCAUGAGCAUGCAACAUAUUAGCUUUCACAUUAGGCGCUCUGUCCUCAAAGGACACCAUCCCACUCUUCACAAGAUUUUGUACUUCAUAAUUCAAUGGAUAGCAGUUUUCUAUGUCGUGGCCAGGGGCUCCAUGGUGAAAAACACAGCGAAGUACAGGUUUGAGCCACCAUGGAAGUGGCUCAGGAAUUUGUGGAUGAUUUCUGGGUUGAAUAAGGUUCUUGAGAACCGAGGAUGGGUACAAUUCUACAUACGAUAUAGGAAUAGGGUCAAAGGAGACCUUCUUCCUCUCAAAGCUUUGCUGGUUAUUGUUGUUGUUGUAGUUGGUUCUUUGUUGCAGUUGUUGUUGAUGUUGUUGUUGCUGAAUCGAAACUGAUUGAUUGUUGGAAUUGUUGGAAAAUACAAGAAUCAUUGAUGAAACUUGAUGUUGAUGUUGACGAGGUUAAGAACUCUUUCUGACAUGAGGCCUCUUAUGCCUCCCCACUAACAAUGAAUUAGUUUCCCCCUCCUUCCUUUUGGAGAAACUCCCACCAUAUUUCUUGCUAGACGAUGCUUCUUCUUUAGACAGACGUCCUUCACGAACUCCUUCCUCUAGCCUCAUCCCCAUAUUUACCAUUUCGGUAAAUUCAUUGGGGGAACUUGCGAUCAUACGCUCGUAGUAAAACGAACUCAACGUCUUCAGGAAGAUCUUCAUCAUCUCUUUCUCUUCCAACGGUGGACUUAUCUGGGCAGCCAACUCCCUCAAUCUCUGGGCAUACUCUUUGAACGUCUCUUUAUCUUUCCGAGACAUAAACCUAAGUUGGUCUCUAUCGGGCGCCAUAUCCAUGUUGUACUUGUACUGAUUAACAAAGGCUUCACCCAAGUCAUUGAAAGUACAAAUGAUCGAACUGUCUAAACCCAUAUACCAUCUCAAAGCAGAACCAAUUAAAUUGUCUUGGAAGUAGUGGAUCAGCAACUGAUCAUUAUCAGUUUGAGUAGACAUCUUUCUAGCAUACAUCACAAGGUGGCUCAGCGGACAAGUGUUCCCCUUAUACUUUUCAAAGUCAGGGACCUUGAACUUCAUAGGGAUUUUCACAUUGGGUACCAGGCAGAGCUCAAUAACACUCUUCCCAAACAAGUCCUUUCCUCUUAAAGUCUUCAACUCUUUACGCAACUCGAGGAACUGAUCCUUCAUUUAGUCCAUUUUCUCAUACAUGUCUAGGCCCUUAGAUGGCUCGGAAUGGUAGAUAGUGUCCUUAACACGAGGCAAAGUGUAAAUAACUAGAGGCGGUACUAACAUGAUCGGGCUAGAUGCCGGCAGAGACACAAAAGUGGGUGCAUAUCCUUCAGGCAUAAAGUUGGAUGGCAUCCCCCACGGGAAUCCAGCAGGCAUGAAAGGACCGGAUUGGCUGGCAUCAACAUGAAUGGUUGAGGUAGCAACCUCACAAAUGACAGUCCUCUGGGGAGGAGUUGCAGGAGUUGGUAAAGAUUGGUUUUGCGCAGCAAUGACAGAUUCCAUCAAUGAUGUUAACCUGUCAAUUUCAUCCUUCAGUUCUCUAUUCUCUUGCUCUAAAUGCUCCACUAUCCUCGGUUGAUUAGCAGGAGUGUUGUAUCAGUGAGUCAGCUUGGCUGAAGCACAGAAAAAUAACCGAUAAGACAUCUGGAGGAAGAAAACCUGCUAUGCAAAUGAUGCAUGAAAUGCAAUGUUUUUGUUUUGUUUUUAAUUUCAAGGAACAUAUAAAGUUCUAUUUACAAAUAUAUAUUUGAAUAAUAACAAUAGUAACAAUUUGAUUGACCAUAAAACCUCUUUUUUAUUCAUAAAAUUUUGGAAGGAUUACACUGAGUAUAAUUUCAGAAACCAAAGUACAAAUACAAGAGAAAAGGAAACCAAUCAUCCUAAGGAUCCUUUAGCAACGAUAUCAGAUGAUCUGGAUGCGGGUACGUACUUCCUUCGGAUACGUUGAAUCUCUGACUCAAAAGAUGUCUUCAUCUGAUCCUUUUCAAGGACAAGGUGAUCAACAAUAUUCUUCCAAGCACUAGAACUGAUGCAUGCUAGAGGAAGGUAGACCCUCUGGCUCUCUCUGUCUCUUUAUUGCUCAGUCUUCAAGAAUCUCAAUAAGCGCAUCUUUAUCUUUCGACUCAAGCUGCAACUCUUCAUGCCUUCGGCUCAAAGCAUGGAACCGCUCUUCCCACAUAUCUUUCUCUUGCUUCAUCUUGGUGAGUGUGUCUUCCAACUUCUUUACAUCUUGGUUAGGGAGAGUUGAUGGCUCAGCCACAACCAAAGACAUAGGUUUUUCAUAAGCGUAAGGCAUCUUCAGCUCCAAAUCUCUCUUCUUCACCCAAAUAGUGUAAUCUUCCAAAACUACACAAUUGUGUGGACCAAGCUUGGAUCUUCCUUUCCUAUGCACAUUAUGCCAAGCACGUAUCAUACUUUGCUUCAAAAGAUGGGGAUCUUUACCCUCUUGAUAGAAAAGACCUUCUAACUGAGUGCUAUUAUGUUUAUCCCUCAAGGGGAACCCAAGUUGACGACGAGCCAAAGAAGGGUUGUAGUUGAUUCCUCCUUGUGUACUAAUGAGAGGCACAUUAGAGAAUUCACCACAACUGUCAAUAAUGUCCACACUACUCAAUCCAGAAUCAUACCAAAUAAUAUCAUCAUUAGUGAGAUACAUAAGUCUCUGAGACCACCGUAGACAUUGCUUGUUCUCCAAAAAAGCAGGCGUCUGAAGCAAGUGUGAAAUAAACCACUUGUACAUAAGAGGAACACAACAAACAAUAGUCCCACCAUCCUUAGAAUUCCUCAAAUGCAAAGAGAAAUACAUGUCACCCAGUAGACUAGGAACAUGAUUCCCAAUUAAGAAGAUUCUAAUGGCGUUAACACCAACAAAACCGUCAAUGUUAGGGAAUAAAGCUAGACCAUAGAUUAGCGACACAAAGAUGGCUUUAAAAGCAUCCACACUACCAACUUGAGCAAAUACAUUAGCUUUACCAAUGAGGAACUCAUAAGUCAACCCAAGAAUACCUCAUUUCUUCACCAAAUGAGCAUCAAUCUCAUAUUUCUUCAGACGAAGAGCUUCAUCUAUGAUAUGAGAUUUGGAAUCUCCUCCAAUCCACUAAAAGGAACCUUGUCAGAUACGGGUGUUCCCAAGAGAUGGGCAUACUCUAACGCAGGCACAUGCUGAUAAUCAGGAAAAGUGAAGCACCGAUAGAGAGGGUCAUAAAGCUGAACCAAAACACUUAAAAGUCCUUCAACCACAUCGGUAGAUAAUACAGACAAAAGCUUCCCAUGACGUUGCUUGAAGUUCAAGGGAUCUUAUAAAAAAGAUGACAACUUCCUUAGCUCUUUCAAAUAAGGACACCUGAAACUGUACUUCUUAGUGUUCUUUCGUCCACAAUCCAUGGUCUGAAAAUAUUUGUAAAUAAGACCUCAGUUCCUUGAAAUUUAUUUUCUGUGAUGAAUGUUAUAAUGCACAUAUAUGCAUGAGUGCAACAAUCACAAGCAAGGGAUCACACACAAGGCAAACACAAACAAAGGUCAAGGGAUGGAUCAAGUCAUUAUCAAGAUCAAUCAUCCAUUUUUGGUGGAUUAUGGUUUUCACCUUAUCAACAUCCAAGUUCCAUUGAUAUUUACAAGACUUGAUCGGAUCAACCAAGAAUCAAAGGGUUUGUUGUGAGUCACGAGCAUGGAGUCAGGUUAAGAACCAUCCCAAAGGAGUGUACUAAGGAUAAAAACUUGUAGAUCAUGUUCUAAAAAGUUCCCAGAGUCUUAAUCCCAUCUAUUAGAUAUUACAGGUUAGGAUGACUGACUCAUCAACCCAUAAUAUUCUCAAGAGAAAUUCGUCUGAGUGUAGUAUCACAUAACAACUGUUAUCAGGUCUACACCUAAACAGUCUCCGCACUACGUCCUAAAUAGGAAAAGUUGGGUUAAAUGUUCUACGGUCCUCAGCUUCUCGGACCCCAAAUCAGAGAAAGUAAUGCCUAACCACAAAUGACUUGUGUGACAUUAGUAACUCCAAAAGGAUCUCCACUGAGUAGAUGAGUCUCAAGCCUACUUGUUAAGGACUACUCCACACAAGUUGAAUAUGACUAUACCAUCCUCUUAUCUUAAUUGCACUCAAGUUAGGGUUAGAACUUAUCUCAUCACUCAGAGAUCACCAAGCACAACAGAUAAAUUAUAUCACACAAGCAAUUAUACAAACAUCAAAUAUACAAAUAUAUACAUAUAAAAAAAUAGGCUAAACCACUGAGGACUACUCCCCAACAGAGUCAUCACUUAAUUUCUGUAGCUGUAAAUUCAUGACCAUCAAACUAUGGAUAAGUUUAACAUCAAUAAAACCAGAGUCACCACCGCGCUUUUACUAUUUUCAAAGGAAAAGGGAAAAGUACGAACAAAACCCAAAGAAAAUAAGUUUUCAAAUCAAAACUAAUAAAAUGCCAAUGAUUACAAGUAAGGGGGUUGGUUACACAGAGGGAAGGUGUUUGCACCCAAAGUGUCCUAGGUACUCCUAGGGAGCCCCUUUUUAUGUUCACAUAUGUUUUUGGUAUAAAAGAUGUUUGAGCAAAAUAGAGUGUGGGGAUGAGAAAAGAAUUCAUUAAUUAGAUUUUUGUGUUUGACAAGACCUUUGAACUCGUGCCUACGUAGCAACAUAAAAAUGAGGGAUCAAAACCUCGUAGUUCGUGGUAACAAUUUCAAAGUUGGUGAAUUGCUUUUAACAAAAGGUUAAUAAGAAAGUCACAAAGGGCCAAAAGUUGAGUGAAGUUGUUAGUUCUUUUUUUGUUGUCUUUUUGAAAUGUUAAGUCAGUAUGAUUAAUUUUAUUUACAAAUUUGAUUUAAGAAAAAAGUUUGAAAAUCCAUUGGCAUAAGUCCAAAGUUUCUAUUUAAAAUAAGGUCUAAGUUUGAAAUCAUAAGCAAAGAAAGUUUUUGAAAAGGGGGAGGAAUUUUGAAAUUUAAGAAAUGGGAGGAGAUGAAGAGACUAUCCUAAGUAUAAAAUUAAAAGUCAAGAGUUGAAAGGAUCUAACCAAUGGGAUGCAAUCCAACAGACAAGAAUGUCAUAUAGAAACCCAUUUUUCCUUGGACUUUGAAUCAAGCAAUAAUAAACAAGCAAUUAGCAAUAUCAGGCAUCAUGAAGAUCAAGGCAUCAAAUAAAUAUAGCCAUAUCCAAGCAAGCGAGUCCCAUAGCUAGCAGUCUUCUUUGUCCUAUCAUGUAUCAGAUGAAUUAUUCCUUGAUCCACUUAGAGUAAAGCAUCACAUACAAGAUCAAAAUAACAAUUAAGCACAAAGAAAGAGUAACAUAUGAAUCCAAACAAAUCCCAAGGUUUGCAUUAGAUGAAGGCUCAGUUAACAAUAACUUGGUUUCAAAAUGUUGGCAUUGGCCAAGUCCUUUUUGCACAGGGAAUGUUGACUAAUCCUAAGUCCAAAAGUUCAAAUCAAGAUCAACAGUCCACCAAAUGUUUUUUAGGGUUUUUAUUUGUUUAUUAAGUGUUUUAAGGUCCUAAGACCACCAACAAAAUCAAAAUGCUCAAACAAUAUAUACAAUCACAAGAUACGACUCAAAUGAGCAAAGUGAAAAUGACAUAAACAUAAACAAGUUAAAUGAAAUGUAAAUGGCAAUGGAUGGUAAAUGACUUAAAUUUAAAUUGCAUAAAGUAAAUGACUUGAAAGUAAAUCAAUAUUAAUAAGCGUUAGUCAAAUGUUAGUGGUGUUUUGCUUUUUAAUUGAUUAAGUCAUUCUUUGGAGAACACUCAACCAUCCAUUCACAAGCAUGGAUCCUUAAACUAAGACAUCUUCCAUAGGAAGUAAAAAAGGUCAAUUUUCCACACAAUACCAUGAAGUAUGGGAGAGUUACAAUCUCACUUACUAGAAUGAUAUGUCUUUAGGGUCAAAUUUAGCUCUAUGUUAAGCAAUCGUAAUUGGACUUAUGUAGAAGUCACUACUAUCUGAGGUCGGGCAAUAAAAAUUUAGGUGUUAAUGCACGUUAGAGAUUUGGUAUAAUGAACCAAACUCCUAAAACAUAGCACGCACUAAAAGAAAAGAUUAAGAGGGAUGGACCUAUCUCAGUCAUACUUGUAUUGGUUCAUCUGACACAAGGUCAUUGAUGGACCAAUUAGCCUUAAGACAUUAGAGAUUUCAUUGGUCAAGGAAAGGAAUGGGAAAGAAUAGGGAUGAAGAUGAAGGGGGAGGAGAGUGAGAGUAACACAAAUUGGUCAUGGGAGGAAUUUUAUCAAAUUAAGAUCAUCCAUUCAUUUUGGGAGAUGAAAUGUAUAUUUCAUCAAUACCCUAAAUCCAAUGAUUUUAAUCCAACAAAAUUCAAAUCAACCUUGACCAAGGCCCACACAAAUAGUCAAACAUCACAAGACCAUAAAAAUGGCUCAACAUAAUUUUUACACAUUUAAUCAAUUAAAAAUAAAAUUUAAAAAUGCAUUAAAAUACAAUUUAAUUUGGUCAAAACAUAAAAUAUCUUCACAACACCAAAUAAAUGGCUAAAUGAUUUACCCUAGGUCAAACAAGGUCAAAGGACCUUAGACAAAAAAUUUCAUAAUUUUUGAAAGGUCAGAAGUAUUUUUAAACAAUUAAAAAUAUGCACAAAAACAUUUAAUUCAUGAAAAAUACCAAAAUUAAAUCAAAAAAUAAUUUCAAUUUAGAAUAUGGAAGAGAAAAAUAUUUAAAGAUUUUUGGUGAAAGUCUCAUAUUUUUUGGAUAAAAAAUGAAAUUAAUAUGAAUUAAACAAAAUAAAGCAAUUAAAUGAAAAAUCAGAAAAUACAAAAAAAAACUAGGGCCAUCAGAUCUCCCUCAUUAAUUGAGGUGGUAGAUCUGAUGACCACACGCUAAGGUGUAUGAUGUGCUCAAGUCAACCGCGUGGCAAAAGUGGUAAACACAAUGGAGGAUCAUGAUUAGAACGUGGAGGGAAGAUCUGAUGGAUAGGAGCAAGCCACCACAUCACCGGAGCCCUAGCACCGGUCGUCUUCUCCGGUGGACCUCACCGGACUGGUCCACCACUAACCACCAUGGAAAUGAAAAACAAGGACAUAAAUUUAAAGAAAAAAUGCUUAGGAGCUCGAAUCUGGCCUCAAUUUCCUCCAAUUCCAAGUAUAUCAAGAGAUACAUGGAUUUGAAUUUUGAGGAUCAUGAACUGAGUUGCUUCGAUUUAACAUCAAAGCAACUCAAUCUUGUUGCCUACAUUGGUAGGAAUUCAGCCAACCAAAAAUCACAAAGAAUAGUGAAGAAUUGAGAGAGAAUCGAAGAGAUGAAAAUUCUGAAAAAUCACCUUCGAAUGAGCUUCAACCUUGAUAGAUCUUGCUUCCAAUUGUCUUUGGCUUGGCUUCAGAAGCUUGUAGGAGGUGAAUUGGACCAAAGAAAAGAUUGUACUCUUGGAGUUUCAAUCUCAAAAUAGGAUGAGAUUUGAAGCUCGAUUUUCAAAUGAAAACCUUCAAGAUUAUCCUUUAAUGGUGAAGGUUUGGAUUGCAGGUUCAAAGCUUGGGCAUGAGGUCCUUAAUUAUGAGCCAAGAGGGUUGUAGUUAUAGGCCUUGCAUUUGAUGUUCACCCACUUCCAAAAUUUUCCAAAUUUAGCAAUUUGCAUUGCAUGCUUGCAUGGGAGUGUGAUAGGCCCAUCAAGUGAUAUAUUCAGGUCCAAAAUUGUUUGUGUACAAUGCUGAAAUCAUGUCAUGUGGCCAUGCAUUUGAAAUUGGAAAGUGAAGGUGAAAUUCAUCUAAAUGGAUCUUUGGAAAUAACCCAUGCGCAAGUCCUUCAUUUCUUGGCCAAAUGAGAUGAUCUUGGAAUUUUUAGAAAGGUGAGAUCAAGGGGAACAACAUUCACGUUGAACACUUUUCCAUUUGAAGAUUGGAUCAUGAUUAAAUUUGAGGUGGAAGUUUGGAAAAUCAAACACAUUUGAAAAUUUUCUAAGUACCAAGUCAAAUGUUGACUUCUUCCAGCUUGAAUAACUUUUGCCAUGGGCUUCAAAUGGAAAAAGUUCCUUCAUCAAAGUUGUAGCUCUUUCAAACCAAUUCAAUUUAGUCCGGAAUUCGACCUAAUUUGGAUUUGGUAUUAAGGAGUCAUGCCAUUUAGAAAUUGAGGAAAAUCACUUAUUCAAUGGUAAUGGCCCAAAAUGACCUAUAAUGCUUCCUCUUGGCACAUGCAUUUGCAAGUUGAAUUUGAACUUCUUCCAAACAUAAAAGUUAAAGAGGACAUAUUUAAUUUAAUCAUGUAACUUUAAUGACUUUUAUCUCAUAAAAAUUGAGCAAGUUAUGGUCCUUGGAAGUUGACCUCCUAACUAGGGUUCAGACAAAAUGACCUAUGAUCUUGCACUAUAAAAAAUGACUUUCCAAGCAAAAGCAGCUCUUGACUUCAACAUGAAAGUUGUUUGGAAUGUCAUAAUGAGUAAAUUUUCUCUCGGGAUAAUUUUCAUAUCAUAGAAAUUGUAGGAGAUAUGGUCUAAGGAACCCCAGUUUUGACCAGUUGACUUUCUCUGGUCAAGCACCAUGAACCAUCUUGCAAACUUGACAUUCUCUUGAUAUUUGGGCCUGAUGGAGGAUCAUACAUAUGUAAUAUGAUGUAAUAUGAAUUAUCCAUUGAAAUAUUCGAUCAAAUGAUGAAUAAACAUGUUGAGGAAGUCACACAAGAUACCUAGACGAAUUUGGGCUUCCAAGGCAAACAAGCUUCAAACUCUUGAUGAUUUAUUGAUCAAAAUGAUAUGUGAAAAUAAUGAGGGUCCAUAUAUGAUGUCUAGAGUCAAUUUUAACCAUCUAUUGAUUAGUAUCCUUGCAUUGAGGGUCUCAAACCCUAGAUAUGAGCUUGAUGGAGCAUGGGUGAAGUCACAAUACCUACAAAAGCAACAACCAUACAUUGACAUAUUUUUGGUAUUUUGGUUAGUAAAUAAUGAGAAACAAAGCAUAAUACAAUCAAAUAUGCUUGGUAACCUCUUCCAAUGCAAACCCAAUGAAUGAGGGGCAAGGAGGAUGCCAAGGUGUGAUCCCAAAGCCAAUGCAUAUGAUGAGAUAACAUGAGGGAUCUUAGGGUCAAAAUUGGGGUCUUACAGUACCCCAGCUAGUCCACAUAUCGGUUAACGCCAAUUUUACUCUUAGGUUCAUAUUUUCACUCUUUUGGAGUUCAAAUCACAUUAUUCUUUGAUUUAGACCAUACUGUUAUCACACUUAUUUUCAUCUCCCAUCACUAGUUCUUUGAACUACGGAGCUCUGAAUUCCUCAUUGCACUAUGAGGAUACGUAGGCAUGAGGGCCCUAAUCCUCAACGAGGACUUUAUCUACUCUUUUCCUUUUCUCCCAUUAUUUUGUGAGUAAUCUUUAGAUAACACCCAUUAUAGUUGAGAACAAUCAAAACGGUUCCCAUGGAGUACCAUGGAUGUUAGGGGUGUUAAUACCUUCCCCUUUCAUAACCGACUUUCUUACCUAGCAUAUCUCUUUCCCCUGGGUUUUAUCGAUGUUUUCCCUUUCCUUCGGGAAUAAAUAAAUUUUGAUGGCCACUAUGUUAUAUGUUGGAGCGUGCGAUGCAUUCGGGUAUAUUUCUGCUAGCUUCAACUGGCGACUCUGGUGGAGAUUUGCUUCUUGGAGUACUUCCUAGUCGCUAAAAGGAGUCGAGCCUGGUUUUGAUUGCUUUCUAGCUUGCUUAGGGUGUUUAUCUUUGCGCUUUACACGCUUUAUCAUUAUAUUCAUUUUCUUUAUAUUAUGGAUAUCUAUAUAUGUUAUUGUUGGGUUAGGGUUAAUACUACAUGAGUGAAGCUCUAUACCCGAGCUUAGUAUACACACAUGAUAUAUUCAUGGAUAGUCGUGUACACCUAUGUUUCACGCGUUGGGUUGUGACGAGAGCCACACCUAGACUAGAUUCACUUGGAAGUACUUUUGUUCUGUGAGCAUUCACUAUGGCAUGGUAUUUUCAUUUCGAGUCGGUGACUCUGGGAGACCUUCUAGGGACCACCUUGGAGCAUAGUCCAUACCCGUGAGGGGAUAUGGGUUUUUCUUGCAGGAAACCAUAGACUCUACAUACCUUGGUUCUCGUAUGGUGUCGAACCUUUGAACUUACAACAAACAGCAUAUUCAGAUUAUUCAGAAUGUAUAAGAACUUUGAAUCUGUGUGAUCUAUAUCAUCCCAUCAUACAUUAUCAUUCAUGAUGACAAAUCUUUUUGCAUAUGCAUUUCUUUUCCAGGAAUUCAAGAGGUCGGUUUGUUGACUAAGCAUCCAAGACGAAGCAUAACUUCCAAGACAAGGAGAACUCACAGUUAUAAGUUUGGAGAGCCACAACUGAAUGUUUUGAGAGGAUUAGGGGCAUAUCUAUUUCUUGGGAACAAAGAUGAAUUCAAGAAGUCUUAUGGAAACCUCCUAAAAAUAUUGAACACCGAAGUCAGUACCACUACUGUGCACACCCUGGUGCAAUUCUAUAACCCUUCACUCAGAUGCGUUACAUUUCAUGAUUAUCAUUUAGCACAUACGUUGGAGAAUUAUUAUCAUAUUCUGGGUAUUGGGAUCAAGAAUCGAGUGCCUUAUAUAUGUACUAAGGAUCUCCCUAAGUACCAAAUCCUUGCUGAAGCCCUUCACAUAGGGAAGAAGGAAGUGGAGUUGAACUUGAAGCCUAAAGGUGGAACCCAUGGUUUUACCUCGAAGUUUCUGGUGGAUAAGGCUACUACCUUCGCUAAUGCUGAGAGUUGGACGACUUUCAACGCCAUUCUAACUCUACUUAUCUAUGGGAUCAUACGGUUUCCAAAUAUGGAAGAAUUCAUGGACUUGGCUACUAAUCAUAUUUUCCUGACUCAGAACCUCGUUUCUACUAUUCUUGCUGACACUUACUACUCCAUCCAUGUAAGGACUUAGAAGAAGAAGGGAACCAUUGUUUGUUGUAUCCCUUUGCUGUAUAAAUGGUUUAUUUCGCAUCUACCCAGCAAAGGUCCUUUCUUGGAGAAUAAAGACAAUCCUAAAUGGUCCCAGCGGAUCAUGUCCUUGAAUGCCGAAGAUAUUUCCUGGUACUCUCGAGUUUACGAUAAUGUCAAACUCAUCCUCAAUUAUGGGGAUUUACCUAAUGUACCUCUUCUUGGUACAAAAGGAGGAAUCAAAUAUAACCCGAGGUUGGCAUUAUGAUAGUUGGGAUACCCCAUGGUAGAUAAGCAUGAUUCCAAGAGUGUAGAAGGUUUUGUUUUACAUGAAGGGGUUGAUGAUCCAGAGCUACUCAAGAAAAUUAUCAAGGCCUGAGGAGAGAUUUAUCUUCAAGGAAGAGAAGAAAUGGGUAAGAAGAACUACAUAACCGGGGAAUCUUAUACCAAAUGGGUGAAAGAUAAAGUCAAAGAGAUAUUGAUGCCAUUCCCAUCCGAACCAUCUAUGAACAUCAAGCCUCUUGAACCAAUGAUUAAUCAUACCUCUGAAGUCAAUGAGCUGAAGAGAACUAUCAAGGCACUAGAGAAAGAGAACACGAAUCUCAAAUCUAGAGUUGGUAAGAUGUCAUUGGAGAAAGAGACCUUAAAGUUCAACCUGAAUCAAAAGAGAGAUAGAGCGCGUCAGGCGGACAACGAGGUGCAAGCCGAGUUGCACAAAAUGAGAAAAGCGGGUGAAGCACUAAAAGGAACUUGCGCUAUCCUGUCAGCAACUCAAUAUUAGGCUUGUAAAGUGGAGCUUAAUUACAAAGAGCAAAUCAAGAAACUUCAAGAUCAAAUGGAAACUUGCAAGAAAGGGUUGAAAGAGGAACAAAGUCGUGUCAAAUAGCUAGAGGUUACUCUUCGUCAGCACCAAAGUGAGAUAGACUAGAGGUUCGAAGAGAUCAGUGGGCUAAAGGAUCAAGCACAUAAAAACCUAGAGAGCACCAACCUACUCAAACAAGAGAAUUAUCAUUGGGAAAAGCACAAUGGACAUCUUCAAAGGCUCCUAGACCAUAAGGAGACAUUCAUGAGAGAUCUUCUAGAUGGACCUGAUCACACUCUAAUGCAGAACCUUCUUAAGGGCGCGCAAUAUUGGAGGGAAAAUCAUGCAUGCCUGACCCAAUUUGCUGAACAUACCAUGGAAGACUUACUAGAAUUGUUGAAGGAACCUUUUGUUGAAGUAUUCCUGCAUAACGUCCAUUGGGUUGUAUUUCAUUUCAUUUCUGUUUUAAGAUUGGUAUUUGAUAGGCUUAAAGAUGAGAUCAUUGUAGCCCGUCGAGUAAACUCUUGAUAUGUAUUUGUACUCCACUUUCUGAUAUUAAAUAAAAGAGUUUCUUUGUUAUUAACUUCAUACAUGGUCUCUCUCUCUUCAUGAUUUAUGAUUGCUUAUGUUGAUAAACAAACUCAAGGGUUCCUUGGAAUUUUUUCUUUACAAAAAGAAAUGUGAUAAAUAAAUAAAUAAAUAUGCAUAUGUCAAAACGUUUUUCAUACAUUCACGCAUCCACGCAUUUAUUUGCUUAAGCCUCCAGAAAAUAAAAUUCUUACCCUCUCCAUCUUUCUACAGCAAAUACGACGACUCUUCAUUGCUAUUAUACCUGUGCCAACAAAUCCAAAACCAUGGCUGAUUACGAAUCUGAUAACGCUGCUGUUAAUGAGACCCUCGCCCAAGUCCAGGGUAGAAUGGACCUUUUUCAGGGAAACAUGGAGACUAUCAUGGAAAUUCUCCAUGCAAAGAGGGAUUCUACCUCUGCUAACCCUGCUGCUGCUAAUGUCACCAAUGCUACUGAUGUCGAAACUCUUGUGGAGACCGUGGUACCGACUAAUGUGAAUAAACACAUGUUUCCUUCUGCUGCAAAUAGGUUUGUUGUUGGCUAUUGUUGGGGAAUGCCCCCGAACUUUGUUGCUCAAUUCGCUAAUGGGGGUGCCUUUAUCCCUCACCGAGCUCUUGUCGCCCCUAAUGCUAUUGGGAAUGUUAUUGUUCCAUGGGGUGUGCCCACGAUCCAAACUCCUCCCAAGGUUAAUGCUACCAACCCCGAGGAUACCCAAGGUCAGGUUCUUGCUGAAACUCCUAAUAAUAAAGAUGAGUACCGAGGCCCGCGCCUCCACUUUCAGAUUCCUUCCCAGGUUGAUCAACCUGCAAAUCUGAAUCAGUUUCAAGCUGAUCUGUUUGCUUACACUGGGGAAACUUCUGUUUCGAUGCUGACGUAUGCACCUACAAACCUAGCACUCCAGUACGCGUAGGCUAGGGCACCUCAGGCCCCUAGUGCCCAAGCUGGAGGGCAGUUCCCACAUAUGAUGCACAUUGUUUCCCAAACAGUGUCUUCCGAUUUCUCUUAUCCAUCGUAGAUGUUGUUUGCUCCUCAAAAUACGCUUAUUCAGGCAAUGGCACAUGACACCUCUUGACUAGCCAGUCAGGUCCUCAUCCCCACUGCUGGUCCGGCCCGGCUAACGAACUACUAGUUAUUGGACGAUAGAAUAAGGGCUAUCGAAGGUUUAUCUACCUUCUACAUUGAUACCAGAGAUCUCUGUUUGGUUCCAAAUGUGGUACUUCCUCAGAAGUUCAAGGUACCAUAUCUACAGAAGUAUAAGGGGAUAAGCUGCCAUCGAAGUCACAUUACGAUGUACUGUAGGAAAAUGACAUCGUAUAUUGACAAUGAUGAUCUACUAAUCCACUGCCUUCAAGAUAGUCUAUCAGGGGCUUCAUUGGACUGGUAUAUGGGCUUGGAGCGCACCAAGAUUAGAUCCUAGAGAGAUUUAUCUAAAGCGUUCCUAAAGAAAUAUAAGUACAACCUCGAUAUGGAACCAACAAGGUUGCAACUACAAUCAGGCACAGAAAUCCAGUGAGACUUUUAAGGAGUAUGCUAAAUGUUGGCGUGAAAUGGCUUCCAGGGUCAGACCAACUUUGUCAGAUAAUGAACUCGUUGACAUCUUCAUGGGUACUCUUCAGGGCCUGUAUUUUGAGAAAAUGAUUGACAGUUCUUCCACUAAUUUCGCAGACAUGGUGACCAUUGGUGAACGUGUUGAGAAUGGGUUGAAAUCAGGAAAGAUCGUAGGUACCGUCACUCAACAGACUACGAAUAAGAAGUCACAUGGGAGAUUUACAAAAAAUAAAGAAGGGGAAACAAGUGUUGUAACAGCAAGUGUCCACCCCCAAUAUCAAUUUCCUAUGGCUCCCAUGCCAUAUUAUUCAUAUCCUUAUAUGGCCGCCGCUCAAUAUCAACAACCUAUGUGUCAAUAUCAACAACAGAAUCAUAAUCAGCAGCUAACACCGACUCAAAACAUUCAGAAUCAACAGAACACUUGUGACAACAAGGGCCAAGGUCGAGGCCAAAAUAACAAGAAUAACUUUGGCAAACAUCCUCAUCUUGAAUAGAUCCCGGUGCCAUAUGUUGAAUUCGUGCCAUAUUUGAUCCAUGUAGGGGCUGUUGUGCCAAGGGAAAUCCCACCAGCUUCUCCUUCCUAUCAUCCUAAGCACAAUCUUAAUGCCUCGUGUGCCUUCCAUGUCGGGUAUAUAGGACACUCUACAGAAGACUGUUGGACCCUCAAAAACAAAAUCUAAGAGUUGAUUAAUCAUAAGGUUUUGUCUUUCUCAUAAUAAAAGCCUAAUGUGAAAACAAACCCUCUUCCUAAUCAUGGUGGUCCAACAGUCAGUGCUGUCAUUGAAGAAGAAACCGCAUAAUCUGUUAAGAGGGCCGACGAUGUAAAGACUCCGAUGUCAGUAGUGUUGAAGAAGCUUGAACAAUUUGGGUUUCUAGUUGGUAUCCAUGAAAACUCCGUUGUGUGUGAAUCUAAUCCAGAUAGUUAUAAUAACUUGAAGGGUUAUGUGCAAGAAUUGAUGAAUCAAGGGAUGACAUACAUGGGCGGAAAAGAGAUUCACAUCCCUGACAAUGAAAUUGUUAAUAUAACUAGAGCGGGAGGCAUGAAUCACAGUGGUCGUGUAUUCGCUUUAAAAUACACUCCUAGGGUGUCUCCAUCACCCACAAUUAUCCCGUAUAAGGAGAAGGUCCUUCCUACUUCUCCUCCACAGGAGGGGGCAUCUAUACCCGCCACUCCGACCAUGUUGACUAUUCCAGUACCAAUAAAAGUUAUUGAUGAUAAGACUGUAGAAUCUGAAACAUCUAAGGGUAAAAGGUCGAUGGUUAAAGACGAACAGGUUGAAGAUCACAAGAAAAGUAUCACUUUUGAGGAAGGCCAAGAAUUCCUCAAAUUGAUCAAGAAAAGUGACUUCAAGAUCGUUGAUCAGUUGGGUCAAACCCCUUCCAAAAUCUCCAUAUUGUCUUUACUUCUGAGUUCUGAGGCUCACCAUAAAGCCUUGUUGAAAGUCAUGAAUAUUGCUUAUGUAAUGCAAGAUAUCACGGUCAAUCAGUUUGAUGACGUGGUUGUAAAUAUCACCGCCAGCAAAUACUUAGGAUUUUGUGAAGCAAAGUUAUCUCCCGAGGGAAAUUCUCACAAUAAAGCAUUACAUAUUUAGUUUAUGUGUACAAACUCCCUUCUAUCUCGCGUCCUCGUCGAUACUGGUUCUUCACUUAAUGUAAUGCCAAAAGCUACAUUAAGUCAAUUACAGUUUAAGGGGCCCAAGAUGAGGACUAGUGCACUGAUUGUUCGAGCAUUUGAUGGCACCAAAAGACAGGUCAUUAGGGAAGUGGAUCAACCCAUUUGUGUCGGACCUCACCAAAUCAGUAUCACCUUUCAAGUCAUGGACAUCAACCCUACCUACAGUUGUUUGUUGGGUAAGUCGUGGAUUCAUGCUAUGAGGGAAGUCACUUCUACAUUGCACCAAAGGUUGAAAUUCUUGAUUGACGACAAGUUGGUUAUAAUAUAUGGUGAAGAAGAUUUGUUGGUUAGUGAACUUUCUUCAUUCAGAUAUGUUGAGACAGAUAAAGGGGUUGUUGAGAUUCCACUCCAUUAUUUAGAGUUUGAAGAGGUCAGUUCAGCUACUGUUAAUCAUGAUCAGUCAUCUGCUACCAUCCUUUCUUCAGUUAAAAGUGCCAAAUAGACUCUGGAAAAAGUUCCUUUAGCCGGUUGGGGUAAAGUUGUCAAUGUGACAGAUAAGCGUGACAAAUUUGAUAUUGGCUAUCAUCCAUCAGCAUGCAAAGCAAGCCCAAAUAAGAAAUAGUUCAAUCCGGUCAAAUUCAGCAGCGCAGGCUUCCAAAGCGAUCACACUGUGGAAGUCAUCAGAGAAUUUAGUGGCAGCAAACCAGAGACUGCCAGCCUUUUACGCAGUUGUCCUUCAGGAUUCAAGCUUACUAACUGGACAACUUCCGUGAUUCCUAUAGUGUAUUCGGCGAAAACGUAAUACAUUUUGUUUUCUCAUUCCCUUGUCUUUGCCUGAGACAAGAGGAUAAAUCGUGAGGACCCCCAAGUUUAAAAUCAUUAUGUGAUUAAAUAAAGAAAGUACUUUUUGCAUGCAAAAUUUGUAUUCAUUUUCUUUCAGUUUUUUUUACUUUCUCACAAAAAUGAAAUGGCAAAAGCUUUUUUUUUUUCCACUUUAUUAAAAAGCAUACUAAAAAUAAGCUCAUAACAUGUAGAGCAAAUAAAACCAUUGAUAACAACAUGGAAAGAAUCGAUUGUAAGUCUGGAUUUCCAAUUAACCAAGUUGAAGAUGACAGUGAGGAAGAUUAUGAAUUACCGGCUGAAAUAGCACGACUCCUUGAGUACGAGGAAAAGGAGAUUCAACCAUACAAAGAGCCAGUGGAUGUCAUUAAUUUGGGUUCUGAAAUUGAUAAAAAAGAAGUAAAUAUUGGGGCAUCUCUUUCCGAGCAUGUACAUUCUGAGUUGGUCAAGUUAUUACAUGAAUAUGUUGAAGUCUUUUCUUGGUCAUAUCAAGAUAUGCCAGGAUUAGACACCAACAUUGUUGAACACCACUUGCCACUCAAACCUGAAUGUCCUCCAGUCAAGCAGAAGCUUAGAAGGACCAGACCCGGCAUGACACUCAAGAUCGGAGAAGAGGUUAAGAAGCAGUUUGACGUGGGCUUUUUAUCUAUUUCAGAGUAUCCAUAGUGGGUUGCUAAUAUUGUUCCAGUUCCAAAGAAAGACGACAAAGUCAGAAUGUGUGUAGAUUACCGAGACCUCAAUAAAGCGAGUCCAAAGGAUGAUUUCCCUUUGCCUCAUAUUGAUGUUUUGGUUGAUAAUACAACUUAGUUUUCCAUAUUUUCCUUCAUGGAUGGUUUCUCGGGGUAUAAUCAUAUAAAGAUAUCGCCAGAUGAUAUGGAGAUGACAAAUUUCAUCACACCUUGGGGAACUUACUGCUACAAAGUAAUAUCGCUCGACUUGAAGAAUGAAGGGGCAACAUAUCAACAUGCCAUGGUAACCCUCUUUCACGACAUGAUUCAUGAAGAGAUCGAGGUUUAUAUGGAGAAAAUGAUUGCCAAAUCUAGAACUGAAGAUGAUCAUUUAGAAAACCUGAGGAAGUUGUUUGCCAGGCUCCGGAAGUCCAAGUUGAGUUUGAAUCCAGCAAAAUGCCCUUUUGGGGUCCGAUCUGGUAAGCUAUUGGGUUUCAUAGUCAGUCAGAAAGGUAUUGAGGUUGAUUCCGACAAAGUUCGAGCCAUCCAAGAUAUGCCACCUCCCCGAACAGAAAAAGAAGUAUGAGGUUUCCUUGGUUGACUCAAUUAUAUCUCCAGCUUCAUAUCACAUUUAACAACUACAUGUGAACCAAUAUUCAAAUUAUUGAGGAAGAAUCAAUCGAUUGCAUGGAAUGACGAUUGCCAAAUAGCAUUUGACAAAAUAAAAAAUUACUUGAAAGAACCACUAAUCCUCAUACCGCCGGUUCCUGGUAGGCCACUUACUAUCACGGUACUUGAUGAAUCCAUGGGCUCAAUUUUGGGUCAGCACGAUGAUAUAAGCAAGAAAGAACACGCAAUAUACUACCUCAGCAAGAAAUUCACUGAAUGUGAGACCAGAUACUCACUCUUAGAUAAGACUUGUUAUGCUUUGGCUUGGGUUGCUCGAUGCCUGAGACAAUACAUGGUUUGACAUACCACUUUAUUGAUAUCCAUAAAGGAUCCGAUAAAGUAUAUAUUUGAAAAGCCUGUUAUUACUGGUAGAAGUUCUCGGUGGCAAAUGUUGUUAACCGAAUAUGAUAUCCAGUAUGUGACUCAGAAAGAAAUAAAGGGGAGCAUUAUGUCUAACUACCUUGCUCAUUUACUUGUGGAAGGUUAUCAACCAUUAAGGUUUGACUUUCCAGAUGAAGACAUCAUGUUUAUCAGAGACUUCACUAUUCCAGGCCACGAGAUAAACCCCAAGGAAGUCCCCGAACCAGGAUCGCGAUGGACACUCAUGUUCGAUGGUGCUUUCAAUGCUCGUGGUCAUGGAAUAGGUGCAAUUAUCACUUCUCCAACUGGUUUCCACCUUCCAUUCACCGCCAGAUUAUGCUUUGAUUGCACCAAUAAUAUGGCAAAAUACGAGGCAUGUAUUUACGUUAUGGAGGCAACCAUCGACUUAAGGAUCAAGAUUCUUGAGGUAUAUGGAGAUUCAGCUCUGGUAAUAAGUCAGGUAAAAGGUGAUUGGGAAACUCGGAAUAUCAAGUUGAUACCUUAUAAAGAGCACAUCAUAAAAUUAAUACCCUACUUUGAUGAAGCUCUUUUCAUCAUAGUCAUAGGGAAGAUAAUUAGUUAGCAGAUGCUCUAGCUACGUUGGCAUCUAUGUUUAAAGACAAAUGGAAGAAUGAAACACCUGCUAUCCAUAUUGACAACUUAGAUGAACUGGCACAUUGUCGAGCAAUCAAGGCAGAUCCUGACGAUAAGCCCUGGUUCUAUGACAUAAAGACAUUUAUGGAGAAACAACAAUAUCCCGAGAGUAUAUCUAUUAUUGAUAAGAAGGCCUUGAGAAGACUCUCUUCCAAGUUUUUCUUAAACGGUGAUGUGUUAUACAACCGAAAUUAUGAUUCUGUACUGCUCAGAUGCGUGGAUAGACACAAAUCUAGUACAAUCAUAAAAUCUAUACAUGAAGGCUACGAGGGUGUACAUGCAAAAGGUCCUGCUAUGGCCAAGAAAAUCCUUCGGCAUGGGUAUUACUGGACGACAAUGGAGGUUGACUGUUAUAACUUUGUUAGAAGAUGCCACAAAUGUCAAAUAUAUGGUGAUAAGAUCUUUGUGCCACCAACUUCGUUGAACGUUCGGACAUAUCCAUGGUCCUUUUCUAUGUGGGGUAUCGAUAUGAUUGGGAUGAUAAAGUCUAAAGCUUCCAAUGGUCAUCAAUUCAUCCUAGUUGCUAUCGAUUACUUCAGGAAAUAGGUCGAAGUUGCUUCAUAUGUGUAAGACCCCAAUUUUGAUCCUAAGAUUCCUCAUGCAAUUUCAUCAUAAGCAUUAGUAUUGGGAUCAUACCUUGGCAUCCUCCUUACCCCUAUUUCAUUGGGUUUGUUUUUGGAGAGAUCUCCAAGCACCAUGUGAUUGUAUCAUACUCGUAUAUUAUCAUUUUUACUAACCAAAAUACCAAAAAAUAUUUCUUUGCAUUUGCCUAACUCUUUCGUAGGUAAGGCAUGAUCUCCAUUGAUCCAUCAAGUUCAUAUCUAGGGUUUGAGACCCUCAUGACAAAGAGCACAACCAUGAAUUGAUCCAAUAAUGGUUAUGAACAUCAUAUAUAAGUCCCAAUGAUCCUUACAUUUUAUAUUGAUCAAGUUAUCUUCAAGAGUUUGAGGGUGAUUUGCCUUGGAAACCCUAAUUUGACUGGGUAUCUUGAGUAACUUCUCCAACAAGCUAUCUCACCAAUUGAUCAAGUUUCUCAAGGGACACUUCAAAAUUUAUCAUAUCAUGCAUAUAUGAUCUACCAUGAGCCAAGAAAGUCAAAAGAAUUGAAGGUUAGCAAGUUGGUUGAUGGUGGUUGGCCAGAUGAAUUCAUCUGAUCAAAACUAGGUCUCCCUAAACCCUAUCUCCUAUAAUUUUCACCAUAUGAAAAUUAUUCCAAGAGCAAACUUACUCUAAAUGAUAUUACAAACAACUUUCAUGUUUAGACCUAGCGCUAGUUUUUCUUGGAAAAUCAUUUUCUAUGUUGAAACAUUAUAGGUCAUUUUGUCUAAACCCUAAUUUGAAAGUCAACUUCCCAAGGCCAUAACUUGCUCAUGUUUUAUGAGAUGAAAUACUUACAAGUUGCACAAUAAAAUUCAAGGUGUCUACUUAAACUUUUAUGUUUGGAGUGAGAGAUGAUUCGACUUUUUUGAGCAUGUGAUAUGAGGUUACAUUAUUGGUCCCUUUUGACCUAUACCAUUAAGGAAGUGAUUUUUCCAAACUUCAAAAAUGCAUAACUCUAUCAUUACAAAUCCAAAUUACAUGAAAUUGGUGACCAUUUUGAAGGUCUUUGAAAGAUAUACAACUUUGUAUAAGAAACUUUUCUCAUUUGAAGCUCACAUAAAAAGUUAAGCAAGAUGGAAUAUUGAGAUAUAUGGCUUGAGACUUAGAAAAUUUUUCAACAUGUUGAAAUUUCCAAACUUCCACCUCAAAAUUCUUCAUGUUCCAAGCUCCAAAUAAAACAUUGUUGAACAUGAAAGUUGUUCCUAUUGAUCUAACCUUUCCAAAAAGUCUAAUUUCAUCCAUUUUGGACAAGAUUUUCUAGGGCUGCACAUGGCUAGAACAUUGCAUCAUCAAUUGGCAAAGAUCAAACUUCAAACUUCCAUGUACAUUUGCCUUACAUUCCAAGUUGAUUUCAGACUUACUCACACUCAAUUAUGGACCUAAAGGAAUGAUAUCAUAGGCCUGUACACACCCAUGCACUCAUGCAUCACUCAUUGCCAAUUUUGGAAACACAUUUGGAAGGUGAAAAUAUCACAUGAUCCAGCUAUAAAUAAAGCUCCAUAUGCUCAGAAUUGAGGACCUCUUGGCGCCAACUUUGAUCCCAAACACCUAACCCUUCCAUUUUAGAGGAUAAUCCUGGGAAUUUCCUUUGGAAAUUGAGUUGGAAUCUCACUGUUUUGAGAUUCAAAACUCCAGGGAUCCAAGACCUUUUGUGCAUUCUAAGCUACUUCUGCAAGCAUACUGAGCAAAAUCAAGCACGAGUCGAAGCAAGAAUAAGUGAAUCCAGACCUGCAUUGAAGGUAUUUUCCAGAAAAUUUCAUCUCUUCGAUUCUCUCUCAAUUCCGCUCAAUUCUCUUUGAUCUUUGGGUUUCUGAAGUCCUACCAAUGUAGGCAAGAAGAUUGAGUUGCUUAGAGGUCAAAUCGAAGCAACUCAGUUGACACACCUCAAAAUUCAACUCCUCAUAUCUUUCUAUAUAUGUGGAGCUAGUUAAAAUUGAGGUCAGAUUUGUGCUUUACGCCAUUUUUUCUUUCAGAUCAUGUCCUCCUUUUUCAUUUAUGAUGUGGUGAUGAAUUGACCAGUCCGGCCAAGGUCGCCUGAGAAGACGACUGGCGCUUUGCUCCGGCAAUGAUGUGGCAUGGUCCAGACCCAUUAGAUGGAUUCAAAAUGUUUUAAUCAUGAGCGUACAUGUUGAUUACCAAGCGUGUGGAUGUUUGACUCAAGCGCAUCAUGGAACGCGCGCGCUCAACCAUUUGAUCUGCCACCUCAAUUAAUGAGGCAGAUCAAGUGGUCCACGUUUUUCUUUUGUUUUUUUGAUUUUCUUUUGUUCCUUUUAUUUUCAUUAAUUCAUAUUAAUUUUAAUAUUGAUCCAAAAAAUAUGAGAGUUUCACCAAAGAAUUUCAAAUAAUUUCCUCUUUCAUAUUUUGAAUUAAAAUUAUUUUUUGGAUCAUUAUUAAUAUUUUUCAUGAUUUAAUUGAUUUUGCAUUUGUUUUUAAUUGUUUCAAAAUACUUUUAAGUCUUUAAAAAUUCUGAAAUUUUUUCUCCAAGGUCCUUUGACCUUGUUUGACCUAUGAUAAAUCUCAUGGCCAAAAGAAACCACAAAACUACUCCAAAAUCCUUAAACUGUUUGCAUAUUUAAUUUAAAUGCCUUAUUUUAGUAUUUUUAAUUUGAAUAAAUGCCAAAUAAUUUUGUUGACCAAUUGUGAUGACUUGUUUAUGUUUGACUCUUGUUGUUGGGCCUUGGCCAAGGUUGAUUUGACUUUGUCAAGUUAAUAUCAUUGGGUUUAGGGGAUUGAUGGAAUGUACAUUCCAUUUCCCAAAAUGAAUGGAUGAUAUGAAUUUGAUAAAAGUCCUCAUUUGAUCAAUUUCAGUUUUGAUCCAUUCCCCUCCCUCUUCAUCUCAUUCCACUUCUUUAUGCGUCCAUCUCAUUUGGCCUAUGAUAUCUCAAAGUCCUAAAGCUAGUUGAUUGAAAAAUUGACAUGAGUAUGGAUGAGAUUAGGCCACCUAUUUUGCAAAUUUAUUUUUGUAUGUGGUAUAUUUCAUGAGUAUAGUCCAUUAUACUAUGUCUCUAACAUGCAUUAACACCAAAAUUCUAUUGCCCGACCUCAAAUAGUUGUGGCUUCUACAUAAGUCCAAUUAGGAUUCCUUAACAUAGCGCUAAAUUUGUGACAUAAAAGGCAUAGCAUUCUAGUUAGUGAGAUUUUAAGUCUCCCCUCUUUCAUGGUAUUGUGUGGAAACUUGGCCUUUUUUCCUUCCUUUGGAAGAUGUCUUGGCUAAAGGGUUGAGUGUUCUCCAAAGAAUGUCUAAAAAAUGAAAAGCAAAAGCAAAACAAUACUAACUUCUAACCCAUUAACAACUAACUUUUAAUUUCAAGUCAUUUACUUUAAUGUCAUUUAAUUCUAGCCUUUAUUCAUUUUCCAUUGUUCAUAUCAUUCUAAUUGUUUAUGUUAAUGCAAUUUUCACUUUGUCCACUUGGACUAUAUUGUGUGAUAUAUCUUGUUUGUAUAUACUUUGCUUGUUUGUGUGGUCUUUGACCAUUAAUGUACAUAAUAACAACAAAAAACCCUAAAAAACUUUUGUGUGGACUGUUGGCUUGAUCUUAGACAAAUGGACUUAGGACUUAGGCAACAUUCCUAUGCUAAAGGACUUGGCCAAUAACUUUUUGAGAAACCAAGUUCUUGCAAUUUGAAACUUCAUCUAAUACAUCAUUCAAGAUCCCUCUGAGUUCAUCUACAACAUGAUCAUUGUGAAGCUGUUAUUUUGAACCCGUGACUUGUGGAAUCCAUCUGUUACAUGGGCUACUUGGAAGAAGAUCAUGGUGUAGUUAAAGAUUGGAUGUGGCUAUCUUUAUUUGAUGUCUUUUGCUCUUCAAGAUAAUAUAAUUGUGCAUUUUUGUGUUGUUUGAUUCUAAAUGUCCAAGGGAAUUCUAGAUUUCUAUUGACAUUCUUGUCUAUUGGAUUGCUACCCAUUUUGUCAGAUCUUUUCAACUCUUAAAUUUUAAUUUUGUGCAUAGGAUUAGUCUCUUCAUCUUCUCCCCAUUUCUUUAAUUUCAAAAUCUCUCCCUCCCUUUUCAAAAUCUUCUUUGUUUGAACUUAUUUUGUUCUAAACUUUGUACACUUUUGCCAAACAGAGUUAGAAACUUUGGCCUUAUGCCAUUUCAUUUUGAAAUUUCUUUUCUUAAAUCAAAUUUGUAAAUAGCUUAACUAUACUUGACUUAAAAUUUCAAAAAGCAAAAAGAACUAACUCGUUAAACCAUUUUUUAGGCCUUUGUGGCUUUCAAACUUAAUUUGUUAAAAGCAAUGCAUCCACUUUGAAAUUUGUAUCACGAACUACGAGGUUUUGAUCCCUCAUUUUUUAUGUGGUACAUAGGCACAAGUCUGAAGGGCCUGUCAAACACAAAAAUUAUAAUUAAUGAAUUCUUUUCUCAUCCCCCCCCCCCCCAAUUCUAUUUGUUUGUAAACAUCAUUUUGUACCAAAUACAUAUCCACACAAAAAGGGCUCCCUAGGAGUACCUAGGACACUUUGGGUUCUAACACCUUCCCUUUGUGUAACCAACCCCCUUACCUGUAAUCUCUGACAUUUUAUAAAUUUUGAUUUGAAAACUUCUUACCCUUUGGGUUUUGUUCGUACUUUUCCCCUUUUCCCUCGGAAACAAUAAAAGUGUGGUGGCGACUCUUGUUAUUUGAUGUCUAGCUUAUCCAUAGCUUGAUGAUCAUGAAUUUACCACUACAAUAUGCCAAUGUCACCCAACAGGUGGUUACUUGGUUUAUCAAGAAAGAGAUAAUAUGUCGCUAUGGAAUUCCUAGCAAGAUCAUCACUGACAAUACCGUUAAUCUUAACAACAAUAUGAUGAAGGAGUUGUGCAAAGAAUUUAAGAUCGAGCACCACAACUCUUCACCAUACCGGCCCAAGAUGAAUGGCGCAGUGGAAGUAACUAAUAAGAACAUUAAGAGAAUCGUCUAAAAAAUGGUCAAGACAUACAAGGACUGGCAUGAGAUACUACCCUUUGCUCUGCACGGUUACAGGACCUCGGUUCAUACAUCCACUAGGGUAACUCCGUACUCAUUAGUGUAUGGGAUGGAAGUUGUUUUACCAAUUGAAGUCGAUAUUCCUUCACUCAGGGUCAUCAUGGAGGUUGAUCUUGACGAAGCUGAAUGGGUUCAAUCUCGGUAUGAUCAACUGAGUUUAAUCGAAGAAAAACGUUUGACGGUCGUUUUCCAUGGUCAGUUGUACCAAAGACGCCUUAAACAAGAUUUUAAUAAGAAAGUUCUUCCUCGUGAGUAUUGUGCAGGAGAACUCGUACUCAAAAGGUAUUUUACUAUUCACUCAUAUCCUCGGGGCAAAUGGACUCCCAACUAUGAAGGACCUUUUGUUAUUGAGAAGACUUUUUCAGGUGGAGCUCUAAUCCUCACAACAAUGGAUGGGGAAGAUUUGUCGUCGCCAGUGAAAGCAGACAUAGUCCAAAAAUAUUAUGCCUAAAAAGAAAUGAUGAUGAAAGCUUACUAGAUUAACCCUCAUAAGAUUAAUCUAGGAAAAAAUGGCUAUCCCGAUGGAGCAAAAAAUGAACUAUCCAUGCAAAAGUUAGGGAUCAAAUAUGAAUAUAAAGCUCGCUAAGUUGAAAACCGAAAUGGUGGCUUAGGGAAAAAGGAGCAUCUCGAUGGACGAAAAGAAUAAAAAUGUUUAGGAAAAAGUUAGGGAUAAAGGCAUUGACUAUGAUCUUUGAGUCUACUACGCUACAAGCUAGAUCUCAGACAGUCAAAGGUCGAUUCAAUCAUUGCCAAUCAAAGCAAGGUCUUGGGAUUCAUAUCCUACAGUGGAUGAUGACCAAUGUUGUAAUCAAUGGGAAAAUACAAAAAUAUUUCCCAUUGCCAUUUCUUUUAUUUUUCAAUUUUUGUGAUUUCCUCUUUAAGGAUUGUCAUACCCCAAAAUUCACCAUACCUUUCACAAAGUUCAUCUAGGUCACUAACCCUAGUCAUAUGCAUAUCUUCAUAACAUUCAUUUCACCCGCAUAUUCAUUGGUUCUAAUACAAGAGGACAAAUAUAAUGGAUUCAAAGCUUUGUGCUUGCAUGUAGUGGGAACUAGGUUUUUCUCUAUAACUCAAGGUGGCUCAAUCAUAAAACCCUAAGGGGAGGUAGCUCUUGAUGCUUAUGCAUUGUGCCAACCAUUGAAGAUUCAAUUGUGGCUUCUUGGUGAGGCAAAACCCUAGUUUGGGGUCACCGGUUGUUGAUGAUUAGGCCAAACCCUGAUUAUGGAUAUCAUUCAUUGUGUGUUCACCUAACCCUAGUCCCAUCCAAUUCAUUAUCAUCCAUUGUGUAUGCUCCACUUGCUUGGCCAUGAUUCAUUUAAGGCUCGCUUGUUCAUGGUCCAUUAUGGAGGUUUAUUGGGUUUUGGUUAGCUUUCACUUCAUGGCCUUACAUGUUCAUUUUUCGCUUGAUGAUAUUCAUUUUGGUUCAAGUCCAUUUCCGUGGUAUCAUAACUGCCACUUGAGUCAAUUCAUUCAUGACAUGUCAUCUGGUCAUUUCCUCAUUCCUAACCCAUAGCUUGUUCAUGGUUUGUUUAUGUUCAUUCCAUCUGUUCAUUUCUAGUGCAUAGUUCUCUCAUGGUUUAUUCACGAUGUGCCCAUUGGUCCAUGUGAUCUCAUUUCCCAUUGGUUCAUGCUAGGGCAUAAGGUGGUUUAUCUAAGUCUUGUAUCAUCCACAUCCAUUUCACAUCCAUUGUCUAGGUCAUAGUUGUUGUCCAUAGGUCCAUGCUAAUGUGAUUUAGCUAAGUCUUAUCAUUCACCUUCCACUCCAUCAUCCAUUCAAGGGUCAAUAUUAAGGGAUUUAGGUUUGAUUGGUUCAUUCAUACAUUUCCAUACAAUUCAAUAUAUUUCAUACAUUCAAUUCAUUUCAAUUUAAUUAUUUCCAUUCAUUAAUAAACAAAUAUCAAUUACAAUCAUCAAAAUGUCUAUACAUUGGAAAAAUUACAAAGAUUUGAUCAUUUUCUACCUAAAUUGGCUUUUGGUCAACUGUUAACUUUUUGGUUAACCAGUUGACCAAAGUCAACUGACCUAUCCUACACCUCAAACCCUAAUUUCUUGGUCCUAACCCUUUGUGAUCUACCAUGCUUCCAUAUUCUUGAAUUCUUUUUGAUUUUUUCAAAUGUAAAGAUAUGUCCAUUGUUUGCACCAACCUACAAGAUACCAACCAACAAAAUUCAUUAGCAUACCACACAUGCAUCAAGGGUUACCAUGAAACUGAACAAGUCUGCAGUGAGAUUCACGCAAAAAUUCCAAGUGCAAGCAUAUGGUGGAGAAUUCUGCAGCAUACCAAAGCUAGAGCAGCCAUUUAGGAGCUGAUCAAACCAGGUUACAACCUUGACCUUCUACCUGCUACAUGCUAACAAUAAGGCUGCAGUGCAACCAAUGUGUGAGCACUUCCAUAAAAAUCCUGAAAAUGCAGCAACAAGGAUUAGUUGAACCAGUCCAUGAAUCCGUAGUAGCAAAGCAAGUGUCAAGACCCUACAUUGAUCAAGCCCACACAAUGCAAUAAAACCACCAACAAUUGACAACAACAAGAGCUUACCAUUGAAGUUCGAUGGAACAUGCCAUUCCUUUCUAUUCUGCAACAACAAUCAACACAAGAAAACAAUCUAAACACGAGCAUUAAUACAACAAAAAAACAUGGAAAUACGGCACCUAAAGCUGACCUGUUGGACAAUCCUCAUACCAACAUACUUAGCAAGGUAACAAGCAGUGCAACUGCAUUAGUUCCUAAGGUCCAAAAUAGAGGAAGUUCAAAAACCAAUUCAAUAAACCUGCAACAGACAUAAUACUUUUCCCUCCAAACCAAGCCCAGGCAGAAUUGCUACAAACCAUGACCCUGUCAAACCAAAGCACCACAAUCACAAGAUAGGACAUAGUCAUUGCAGUACUCUGUGGCCGUGAGGAAGAACCACAAGUAAACUAAAUGCCCAAACUUGGCAGCAAGGGGGAACAUAAGACAUUCAACAACUUGAGCCAAUUCUGCAAUGCCCAAUAGGACACAAGCAGACAACUUCAACUCAUAUCAUGAACCGUGCCAACCAUCUAAACCAUGAAGUAAUAGCCUUGCAACCACCAAAUAAACCUACAAAUUAACCAAAACAUGACAAUGAUAUGUAUCAAGUAAAAAACCACUCAUGCCAAUUACAAUGCAGCCCUAGCAUUCAAGCUAAAGCAUACACCAACAUGCCAAGUGUAGCGGUAAAUUCAUUAUCGUCAAGCUAUGGAUAAGCUAGACGUCAACAAAACCAGAGUCGCCAUCACGCUUUUAUUGUUUCCAAGGGAAAAGGGAAAAGUAAGAAUAAAGCCCCAAAAGAUAAGAUGUUUUCAAAUCAAAACUAAUAAAAUGCCAGAGAUUACAAGUAAGGGGGUUGGUUACACAGAAGGAAGGUGUUAGUACCCAAAGUGUCCUAGGUACUCCUAUGGAGCCCUUUUUUGUGUGCAUAUGUGUUUUUUACAAAUGAUGUUUGCAAAUAAAAAGAGUGUGGGGAUGAGAAAAGAAUUCAUUAAUUAUAUUUUUGUGUUUGACAAGACCUUCGGACUUGUGCAUACGUACCAACAUAAAAAUGAGGGAUUAAAACCUCGUAGUUCGCGGUAACAAUUUCAAAGUGAGUGCAUUGCUUUUAACAAAAUUUUAAGUUUAAAAGGCACAAAAGCCUAAAAUGGUUUGAAUGAGUGUUAGUUCUUUUGGCUUUUGAAAAUUUAAGUCAAGUAUAGUUAAUUUUAUUUACAAGUUUGAUUAAGAAAAGAUUUUAAAAAUGCAAUGGCAUAAGGCCAAAGUUUCUAGUUUACAAAAUGAUCAAAGUUUAGAAAUCAACAAACAUAAGCAAAGAAGAUUUUAAAAGGAGGGGAAUAUUUUGAAAUUAAAUAAGUGAGGAGGAGAUGAAGAGACUAAUCCUAAGCAUAAAUUUAAAAGUUGAGAGUUGAAAAGUUCUGAUCAAUGGACUGCAAUCCAAUAGACAAGAAUGUCAUAUAGAAACCCACUUUUCCCUUGGACUUUAGGAUCAAGCAAUAUCAAUACACAAACAGCGAGAUAAAGAGGAAGGCAUCAAAUAAAUAUAGCCACAUCCAAGCUUAGCAACUCCAUGAUCUUCUUCAAAAUGUCCCAUGUGUCAGAUGAAUUCAAAGAUGGCAUAAGUCACAUGUUCAAAAUAAUAGCUUCACAAUGAUCAUGUUGCAGGUGAACUCGAAUGGAUCUUCAAAGUUGUAUCAGAUGAAUGUUCUUCACAAGUACUUGGUUACAUGAAAAUUGGCAUUGGCCAAGUGCUUUGCAUAGGGAGUGUUGUCUAAAUUCUAAGUCCAAUAGUCUCAGAGCAAACCAACAGUCCACACAAAAUGUUUUUUUGGGUUUUUGUUCUUAUUAUGUACAUUAAGGUCAAAAGACCACACAAACAAACAAAUAUAUAUAAACACAAAAUAUCACAAAAUAUGGUCCAAAUGGACAAAGUGACAAUGACAUUAAAGUAAACAACUUGAAUGGUAUGAAUAAUGGCAAAUGAAAUAAGACUUAAAAAAAGUUAAAGUGCAUAAAAGUAAAUAGCUUGAAAUUAAAUGUUAGUUGUUAGUGAAUUAGAAGUUAGUAUUGCUUUUGCUUUUAUUUUGUUUAAGUCAUUCUUUGGAGAACACUCAACCCACUUAUCACAAGUAUGGAUCCUUGAACCAAGACAUCUUCCAAAGGAAGGAAAAAAUGCCAAGUUUCCACACAAUACCAUGAAAGAAGGGAGACUUACAAUCUCACUAACUAGAAUGAUAUGCCUUUUUGUGUCAAAAUUUAGCGUUAUGUUAAGCAAUCGUAAUUGAACUUAUGUAGAAGUCACAACUAUUUAAGGUCGGACAAUAGAAUUUAGAUAUUAAUGCAUGUUAGAGACAUAGUAUAAUCGACUAUGCUCAUGAAACAUACCACACACAAAAAGAAUAUGCAAAGUGGGGGACCUAAUCUCAUCCAUACUUAUGUUGAUUUUGCAAUCAACUAGCCUUAGGGUAUAGAGAUAUUAUAGGUCCAUGACAUGAGUGGACAAAGAAGGGGAAUGAGAUGAAGAGGUCGGGGGAAUGGAUCAAACACAAAUUGGUCAAAGGAGGACUUUUACCAAAUUAAGAUCAUUCAUUCAUUUUGUGAGAUGGAAUGUACAUUCCAUCAAUCCCCUAAAUCCAAUGAUCUUAACCUAGCAAAGUCAAAUCAACCUUGACCAAGACCCAACAACACAAGUCAAACUCACAAAGUCAAAUGAAAUGGCUCUACGUAAUUAAUUUGGCAUUUAAACAAAUAAAAAUAAUAAAAAUAUGCAUUAAAUUAAAUUAUGGUUGGUCAAUUUCCUAAAACCUCAUUAAAACACCAAAAAAUGGCCAUGAGAUUUAUCAUAGGUCAAACAAGGUCAAAGAACCUUGGAGAAAAAAUUUCAGAAUUUUUGGAAACUUAAAAGUAUUUUUAAAUAAUUAAAAAUAUUCACAAAAUCAAUUAACUCAUGAAAAUAUUAAUAAUGAUCCAAAAAAUAAUUUUAAUUCAGAAAAUGAAAUAUGAUUUUUUUUUUGUGAAACUCUCAUAUGUUUUGGAUCAAUAUUAAAUUUAAUAUGAAUUAAUGAAAAUACAAGAAAUAAUAUGAAAAUCAAUUAAAUCAGAAAAACGUGGACCACUUGAUCUCCCUCAUUAGUCAGCGCGCCACACAACUGGUAAUAAAAAAGAAUGCUCAAGAUUAAAACGCAUUAGCUUGAUCAUGUGACUCAGAACUCAUCCAGCACAUCGUCGGAGCAAACCACCGGUCAUCUUCUCCGAUGACCCUGGCCGGACUAGUUCUCUCAUCACCAUCACAUAAAUGAAAAAAGAGGACAUGAUCUUAAAGAAAAAAUGUCAUAGAUCAUGAAUAUGACCUCAAUUCAACCUAACUCCAAGUAUAUUAAGAGAUAUAUGGAGUUGAAAUUUGAGGUACAUGAACUGAGUUACUUCGAUUUGACCUCAAAGCAACUCAAUCUGCUUGCCUACAUUGGUAGGACUUCAGACAAUCCAGGAUCCUAGAGAAUUGAUGAGAAUUGAGAGAGAAUUGAAGAGAAUAAAAUUCAGGAAAAAUACCUUCAAUGUUGUGCAGAACUUAAUCUCUCUUGCUUCAAUUCGUGUUUGAUCUUGCCCAAGAAGCUCGCAGAAGUAGAUUAGGAUUGGUACAAGGCUUUGGAUCCUUGAGUUUUUGAAUCUCCAAACAGUGAGAUUCAAACUCAAAUUUCAAGUGAAAUUUCUCAGGUUUUCCUGUCAAUGGUGAGGGUUUCAAAUGUGGGAGGCAAAGCUGGCGCGCAAGGGUCCUCAAAACUGAUGCAAUGGACCUCUAUUUAUAGCAAAUGCAAGUGAUAUUUGAACCUUUGAAAUUCUUCCAAAUUUGGCAAUAUGGAGUGCACGCUUGCAUGGGCAUGUACAUGACCAUGAAGCAACUCAAUUAGGUCCAAAUGCAAGUGAGAUUGAGUCUAAAUGUGGAUUUUGAUGCAAGGAAAAAGUGUAUUGAUGUUUGAAGAAUGAUUCUUGCCAACUGAUACAGCCAUCUUCAGGCCAUGUGCAGACCCCUCAAACCUUGUCCAAAAUGGAUGAAAUUGGACUCUUUGGAAAGGUUAGAUCAAGAGGAACAACUCUUAUGUUGAAUACUUUUCCAUUUGGAGCUUGUAUGAGGUGGAAGUUUGGAAAUUUCAACAUGUCAAAAUAUUUUCUAAGUGUUAAGCCAUAUGUUCAAUUAUUCCACCUUAGCUAACUUUUUAUGUGGGCUUCAAGUGAGAAAAGUGUCUUCAUAAAAGUUAUAUAACUUUCAAAAUGGUCACAAAUUUGACCUCAUUUGGAUUUGGGAUGAAUGCGUUAUGCAUUUUUGAAGUUGAGGAAAAUCACUUGUUCAAUGGUAUUGGUCCAAAAUGACCUAUAAUGUAUCCUCAUAUCACAUGCUUAUAAAAGUUGAUUUAGAUCUUCCUAUAAACAUCAAAGUUGAAGUAGACACCUUGAAUUUGAUUUUGCAACUUGUAAAUCUUUCAUAUUAUAAAAAUUGAGCAAGUUAUGGCCUUGAGAAGUUGACUUUCAAAUUAGGGUUUAGACAAAAUGAUCUAUAAUCUUUCAACAUAAAAAAUGAAUUUCCAAGAAAAACUAACUAUUAACCUCAACAUGAAAGUUGUUUGGAAUGUCAUUUAGAUUAACUUUUCUCUUGGAAUCAUUUUCAUAUGAUGAACAUUGUAGGAGAUAGGGUCUAUGGGAACCUAGUUUUGAUCAGAUGAAUUCCUUUGGUCAACCACCAUCAACCACCUUGCUAACCUGCAGUCUUCUUGAAUUUUUGGACUCAUGGGAGAUCAUAUAUGCAUAAGAUGAUGAAUUUUGAAGUGUCCCUUGGAGUAUUUGAUCAAUUGGUGAAGAAGCUUGUUGAAUAAGUUACUCAAGGUACCUAGAUAAACUAGGGUUUCCAAGGCAAACCAAUUCCAAACUCUUGAAGAAUGCUUGAUCAUAAUAACAUGUAAAUAUCAUGGGGACUCAUAUAUGAUUCCUAGAGCCAUUAUGGGUCAUUCCUUGGUUGAGCUCUUAGCAAUGAGGGUCUUAAACCCUAGAUGUGAACUUGAUGAAUCAAAGGUGAUCAUGUGUCCUCCCUACAAAAGAGUUAGACAAAUACAAAGACAUAUUUUUGGUAUUUUGGUUAGUAAAUGAUAAAAUACAAAGUAUGAUAAAAUCACAUGGUGCUUGGUGAUCUCUCCCAAAACAAACCCAAUGAAUAAAGGGGUAAGGAGGAUACCAAGGUAUGAUCCCAAUGCCAAUGCAUAUGAUGAGGAUAGCAUGAGUGGUCUUAAGGUCAAAAUUGGGGUCUUACACCAAGUCACGGACAUGCUAAGUGGAAAUGUAGUAACAUAGCUAUACCUUCAUAACAGGAUGCAAAACAAAUAGUCAUGAUACAAGAGGUCAAACCAACCAAACCAGGAAGGAUCACCAUUGUAAACAUGUUGAAUCAAUACACAAUGACAGUGCAACAGGAAUUGAGGGAAGUGGAACAAGGUCUUGCAUGAAAUUAACUCAGUUCAUUAAGUGUAAAUCAGAAACAAGAUUGAAUCACAAUGCAAGUCCAAGUAAACACGUGACUUGAAGUUAAUAAGAACCUUGUAAAACAUCAAGCAAACCAGUAGGAAACAAUGCCAAUCCAUACCUGCAAAACCAUGUUGCAGCAUAUUAAGCCAACACAUCAUCUGUAACACCAAAAACCUGCAAUUGAUCAAGCCAGUGAAACCAUGAGCUGCAAUACAAUCAUGAGGCAAUGAACACCCUGCUGCACCAGUCAGAACAGGAAAACCCUAACGAGUAAUGAACACCAAAGUUGCACCAAGUUGCAAUGGUUCAAAUACCCAUAAUCCAGAACCUACUGCCUCCAGAAUCCAUAGCAAAGCAUGAAUCACAAAAACCAAAGCAAAAUAUCAUACACAAGCUAAUGUAACCAAAACCAGUCCAAUAUCAACCUAAAAAGUUGUAACCAAUGAGUUUUUGAAACACCAAUAACAGUUUCAGUAGCAAAUCAUCAUAAAUAAAAUAUUAUUGCUUCAAACCCUUCUAGUUAACUAAACUGGCCAACUAGAAAACAAUUGCAAAGUUAACCAUUUCUGAAUCCUAUCAAUGUUACUUGUUCAUAAAUCACCCAUAACCAUAUGACAGUCAACAUUCCCUACUCUUCUAUCAACUGAUCCAUCGCCAUGACUUCAGGAAAAUCCAACCUCCCUAAGACUCCUAACCGAAUUCUAAGUUCUACAUACCAUAACAAAGAAUGCCAAGCUAGGCAACUGGUCCUGAAAUAGAGCAUCACAAAGCCAAUGAAACUACCCAUAACAAAGACCAAUGACUCACCUGCAUGAUCACUGAAUAGAGGUCUUCAAGCAAAACCUGCAAAAUUGACAUAAGAGGAAACCACUGAUUUCUACAUUAAAGGGUACAUCAUUCAAAAAAGAGCCUACAUAGACCAGUCAUUAACAAAACUUUUACACUCAUCUAACCAACCUAACCUAACUGCCAUGCCAGCUGUCUAACUAAUCGCAUAGGGAUCCACAAAAUAUCAAAAAUUGAAAAGGAGUAACAGAAUUGAACCCCUAACUAACUCCUAACCAAAAGUCCCCAAUCCCAAUGCCUAAUCACCUAUAAAUUCACCUCUCAUGAUUCUUCCAAGGUUGAUCACUCUUUCAUUCUCAAAAUUACACACUCAUUGCUCUGACGUUCAACUCCAAUCAUUCUUCAAUCGCUGCACAUCCUCUGCACAUUGAAUUCUCCAUCAUCGACGAUCACGAGAGGCUUGGCUCUCCCUCAAUCCAAAUCUCAAUCAUCUCCAUAACUUUCAUCGCCACCAUCAUUCGCGAUCCCUGAGAUCACGAGCUCUUCCCUGAUUCAAUCGCUCAACCGACGAUCCUUUUCCACCUCCAACCCUCACCGUCGUCACUCUCCAGAUAGCUCCCAUUCAAAAUCAAGAAGAAGAAAAUGGAAGAAGUAGGAGAUUCGAGCAGAAGCGGAGGAAGAACCAAACGUACCUGAAACUCUGUCGUCGUUGUCAGUAUCAAGAUACUCCGGUAGGAAUUUUGAAAUUCAUCUUUUUCUUUGUUUCUUGUUACCAGUAGGCUGAGUAGGGAUUGAGAGCCCAUAGCCCUAAGGUCUGAGAGUGCAUCAUGGUGCGACCGUUAAUUAAUUUGACUAUUAAUAUCUAGGGUUCAUGAUAAUUGAUGAUUUAGCUAGAGGCCUAGGGUUCGAAUCUUGGAAAAUUAGCUAUGGAUUCGAAAAGAGCUUGAGGAGACGAGUAGAAUGGUGGUCUAUUUUUUCAUUUUGAUGGCCACCGCCACCGGAGACGAUUGUCGGUGCGGUGGCCCACGGUGGUUUCCACCUGAAUCUUCGAGCUCGGCUCCACGUCUCAUGCGCGCUAUUUUUUUCAUUGUUAAAUUUAACUUUAAUUUCCUUUCUCCCAACCACAAAACACCAUGUGUGUUAUGGACUUCCAUCUCACCAUUGCCAAAACCUGUUGGGCUCAUGUACGUUGGGCUUGGUCUGAUCCCUUACUAUCACCCCGCUCAUAGCCUUGCACCUCCUACUGAGAAGAGAAUAAAAUAGUGGGCCUCGAGCCAUAAAAGCCCAUGCGCCUGAAACAUUUUUACAUCCUGAAUCCAGAAACAUACCCCCGGCCCAUUGCUAUUUUAUUUGAUUUGUUUUACUCAUUUUUCUUGCAUUUUGAAUUCAUUUGCUUGCAAUAAUAUUCAUGUCUAAAUCUCGAUUGCGACUUUUGAUUGUUUGGAUUGAUUAGAAGAUAAAUGACUAAAAUAUAUGUUCAUUUAGGAUUUUAAUUAGACUCGUUUAGAUAUUAAUCCACCUUUUAAACCAACACAAAAAGGGAGAUUAGAAAAUUCCAUUUAAUUCUUGUCUUUGAUUCACUAAUUAGUUUCCAUUCUAAUUCUAUUAAUAUGCUUAGUUAGGAGUAAAAUUGAAAAUGAUGUUUCAAUUUUGAGAUGAUGGCAUAUCCAUUAUUUUCACCAUGAUCAUUAUAUCAUUUCACCAUAACAUCUCAUGAGUCAUUUGUGUUAAGCAUUUUAAUUUUCAUUUAGGUCAUAUUGUUAACUAACCCCAUUUGAUGUUUUGUGUUAGCAUGUGAAUGUGACAUUCAAACCAUCCAAGUGACCUUUUAUACUUUCAUUUUCAUUCAAUAGCUUUGUAUUGUUUGAAGUUCCAUGUCACUUGUAUGCCUUAGGCAUGGUACAUAGUUAAUAGUUUGUAACUUGUACUUUCUUUUCAUUCCCUUAUGUUGUAUUGUAUGGAUCCAUCCCCCCAUUAUGGGCUAAAUGUCCCCCAUCCUCAUAGUCAUGUAAUAGCUUAGAUUUAUUGGUUUCUAUCUAGUUCACCAUGCAUGUUAAUAACCAAGAUAAAAUACAAAAUAAUAAACAAAGCAUUUCAAAAGAAACAAAAGGUACUUAAUUCAACGUCAAGUUGUUUUCCGAAUAAAACUCACACCAAUGCAACGUGGAUGAUUGAUCCAACGUCAAACAUUCUCCUUCCACUCCAAGAUCCAUUCAUUCAUAUCUCUUCUCCAUUCUCUCCACAAACUCAUUCUAUCUCUUACCUCCAUUCUUCAUUCACUAUUUUUCACAAUAAACUCAAAUGCUUGAUCCAACGUCAAGCACUUUUUUCAAAACCAUUUUCAUAACAAAUUGGAAUGCAAAUGGGGUGUACGUGUUUGUACACAACAUUCAAGUAAUUGGGUUAUCGGCCAUACCUAGCCUGAGGAUCCGACACUUGACUUUACCUAUUAAAACAUCUAAUGAUUCAAACAAGUUAGAUCUAGGAGCUAUGAGGAAGAAAAAGAAUGGUCAGGACUCAAUUGUCCUCUCGAUUCCCAAGUACUUUGAUUGUUGAUUGUACUUAGGCAAGGGUUAGAGACUUGUCUCCCUCUAAGUUCCAACGAUUAGACUUUCCAAACUCUUUCACGAUUCAAAACUCUUUUUGGAUGAAAAAGAGGGGUUAGGACAACAUUGUCCUCUCAACUCCCGAGUUAUUGGACCAUUGACCGUAUCUAUCCAAGUGUCUAAUGCUUGUCUCCUUGCAUAAAAAUGACCCCAACCAAUAAAAUCAUAUUUUGCCUUAGUGCACUCUUCAAAACCUUUCAAUAAGGAUGUGUUACUUUCGUUCUACCGUGAACGAAGCUUAAGCCUCCAUGUGUGAGCAAGUAAUGUUUAACUGCUAGAGUGCGAACCAAGCGUCUCCACUUUACCACAAACAAGCAAAUACUUGUAAGAACAAAAAUUGUUCUACAACAGAUUCCAGGAUUUUGAUGAUAACAAAGGAUGAAACCAAAAAUGGCACUCAUUGCUUUUCAAAGAUUCACACGUCCUAAGAUUUGUUCUGCUUUCGAAUCUGAUUACGUCAUCAGAUACAGAAUCAAAUCAGAUACAAAUUAUCAGAAGAUCAGAAGCAUCUGAAGUGGAAAUGCGCUCUAGAAGUUCUGAGUCCAAACAACAGCGGAUCAGAAUAUCAGAAGCAUCUGAAGAAGAAGCGCGCUCUAGAAGUUCUGACUCUGAACAACGGGAUAUCAGACUAUCAGAAGCUCUAAAGUCACCUCUCUAAGAAUCUCGGAUUAUUAGAGCAACUCAGACUCUAAUAAUGGAUUUCCUUAUUCAGAAUGAGUAACGACAACUUCAAAUUCAAAUGGAAAGAAUCUAUUAUUGGAAAGAAGUUAUUCAGGGAGACAAAGUUGUUUUGGCAAGAAACAACAGAAGUUAUGGCAUUGAUUCCUAAUCAAGACUAAAUUAUCUGCCAUCAAUUUCAACGACCCUUUCACCUCUAUAUAAAGGACAGCAAAGAGCAUUGAGAGAUACACCAACGCACAAAAACUUUUUCCUCUCUCUCUCAAUCUUUCAUGAAGCUUUUGCUUAGAACGUGAAACAUUCUUUUGUUUUUACUGUUGUAAUAUUUGCUUUAUCCUAGAAGCACUCUAGAUUACAAAGUCCUUUUUAUCUAUUGCUUUAUUUCCUCAAGUGACUCUGCGCAGUCUGUAUACUUGAGAGGACUAAGAGAUCCUUCUCUUAGACGUUGGUUGUAAACAAUCUUUCAAGAUUAGUGGAUUAAGUCCUUUUUGAAGGCGAAAUCACCUUGGCCGGGUGGACUGGAGUAGCUUUGUGUUAUAAGAGAACCAGUAUAAAAUCCUGUGUGAUUUUAUUUUGCAAAUAACGCUUAUUUUCCAAAACAAUUCAACCCCCCCCCCCCUUUCUUGUUUUUCUCACCUUCAAUUGGUAUCAGAGCUUCGGCUCUGUUAUUGAUUUUCUAAUCAAACACUUAACAGUGUAGAGAGAUCCAGAACGAGAAAAACUAUGGCCCAGACAAACGAAAGAGACAGUUACAAUGCUAAGCCUCCUGUUUUUGAUGGAGAGAAAUUCGAUUACUGGAACGAUAGAAUUUAAAGUUUCUUUCUAGGCUAUGACGCUGAUCUCUGGGACAUUGUCACAGAUGGAUACAAACCUCCGGUAACUAACGCUGGAGUUGAAGUUCCCAGAAGUAAAAUGUCAGAUGAUCAGAAGCGCGAAUUCAAGAAUCAUCACAAAGCCAGAACGAUACUUCUCAAUGCCAUAUCCUAUAAUGAGUAUGAAAAAAUCACCAACAGGGAAACUGCUAAAGAUAUACUUGACUCCCUGAAGAUGACUCAUGAAGGAAACUCUCAGGUUAAAGAAACAAAGGCUCUGGCCCUAAUCCAGAAGUAUGAAGCCUUCAAAAUGGAGGAUGACGAAGCCAUAGAGGUAAUGUUCUCCAGAUUCUAAACUCUUAUUGCAGGUCUCAAAGUUCUAGACAAAGGAUACACAACUGCAGACCACGUCAAAAAGAUAGUCAGAAGCUUGCCAAAGAAGUGGAGACCCAUGGUCACUGCCUUGAAGCUGUCAAAGGAUCUGAACAACAUCAGUCUUGAAGAGCUUGUCGGCUCCCUCAGAAGCCAUGAGAUAGAACUAGAGGAAGAUGAGCCUCAGAAUAAGAACAAGUCUGUAGCAUUAAAGUCUAGAUCUGAAAGACGCAAAUCUGACAGAAACAAAGCAUUCCAGGCCGAAACAGAAGAUGUUGAUGACUCUGAACAGGAAGAUUCUAAUGAUGAAUAAGAAUUGUCUCUCCUGACCAGAAGAGUUAAACAACUCUGGAAAAAGAGGAACAAUAACUUCAGAAGACCAAGACCCAGAGGGGAUCGAUCAGAAUCAACCUCAAAAAGUAAAACUAACAAAGGUAUUACUUGUUAUGAAUGUAAAGAAACAGGUCACUACAGGAAUGAAUGCCCCAAGCUAAAGAAAGACAGUUCCAGAAAAGAAAGUUUCAAGAAAAAUACCUUCAGGACAAAGAAAGGAUUAAUGGCCACCUGGGAUGAUAGUGAAUCUGACUCAUCAGAAUCUGACUCUGAUGAACAGGCCAAUGUGGCAUUCAUGGCUACCACAUCCAGGAACAGUUCAGAUGAAGAAUCUGAAGAGGUAUUUUCUGAACUUUCUCGAUCUGAUCUAGAAUCUUGUUUGUCAGAAACUCUUAGCUCAUAUCAGAAAUUAAAACAAAAGUUUAAAAACAUUAAAGGCUGUCUUAAAGCAAAAUUUGAAGAAUGUAGUGAGCUUGAGAUGACAAUUCUAGCACGAGAAGAUACAAUCAGAUCUUUAACAUUAGAAAGAGAUGGAGCAAAAAGAAAAAGCUUAGAAUUAGAAGAAGCGUUGUCUCAAGCACCACAAACUUCAAAUAAAAUUAUUUAUAAAUAUGAAGAAGCCUUUCAAGAAUUUCUGAAGAAUGGGAUAGAUAGGAGUAUUAUGGCAUCCAUGAUUUAUGGAGUAAGUCAGAACAAUAAAAGGGGAAUUGGGUAUGAUCCUAAGGAAGAUAAAACUUCUACAAGUGAUCAAAUUAAAUCUCCUUUUUCAUAUCACUACACACACACACAAGAACACAAAUUUAAAAAUGCUAGAAGACCCAAAGUUAUAAGAAACUCUGGGAAAACUAAUCUAAAAGGACCCAAGAGAUUCUGGGUACCGAAAGAUAAGAUUAUCUAUGUUGCAGAUAUCCUAUGCAGCAAAGUUCAGACACCAGUCAUGGUACCUGGACUCUGGAUGCUCGCGACACAUGACGGGAAGAAAGUCUAUGUUCCAAAGCCUGGAACUUAAAGACGCUGGAUUUGUAGGCUUCGGAGGAGAUCAGAAAGGAAGGAUCAGAGGCUCCGGAACUAUUGGUAAUGGUACUCUUCCCUCUAUAUCUGAUGUUCUUUAUGUAGAAGGAUUAAUGCAUAACUUGUUAUCCAUAAGUCAAUUAAGUGAUAACGGUUAUGAUGUAAUCUUCAAUCAAAAAACAUGUAAAGCCAUUAAUCAGAACGAUGGCUCUGUCCUUUUCACAGGCAAGAGGAAAAACAACAUUUACAAAAUAAAUCUUUCUGAUUUAAAAGAUCAAAAUGUUAAAUGUCUAAUGUCAGUUCACGAAGAGCAAUGGGUAUGGCAUAGACGCUUGGGCCACAUUAGCAUGAGGAAACUUUCUCAGCUAAAUAAACUCGAGUUAGUCAGAGGUCUACCUAAACUGAAGUUUUCUUCAGAUGCUCUGUGUGAAGCAUGUCAGAAAGGAAAAUUUUCAAAAACAUCCUUUAAAAAGAAAAAUAUUGUUUCUACCUCUAAGCCUCUGGAACUUCUUCACAUUGACUUAUUUGGUCCUGUGAAAACAGCAUCAGUCAAUGGAAAGAAGUAUGGACUAGUCAUUGUUGAUGAUUACAGCCGCUGGACAUGGGUAAAAUUCCUAAAGCACAAGAGUGAGUCUCACUCUGUAUUCACCAGUUUCUGUUCCAAAGUGCAAAAAGAAUUUGACUCUAAAAUUAUUAGAGUCAGAAGUGAUCAUGGUGGAGAAUUUGAAAAUAAAGAUUUUGAAGAAUUAUUUGACUCUAAUGGAAUAUCCCAUGAUUUCUCCUGCCCUAGAACUCCACAACAAAAUGGAGUUGUAGAGAGGAAGAAUAGGACACUCCAAGAGAUGGCCAGAACCAUGAUCAAUGAAACUAAUGUGGCAAAGCAUUUUUGGGCAGAAGCUGUAAAUACAGCGUGUUACAUUCAGAAUAGAAUCUCUAUAAGACCUAUUCUGGAAAAGACUCCCUAUGAACUGUGUAAAGGAAGAAAACCAAACAUUUCAUAUUUUCAUCCUUUUGGAUGUUCUUGCUUUAUUUUAAACACUAAAGAACAUCUGAACAAGUUUGAUUCCAAAGCACAGAAAGGUAUUAUGUUAGGAUACUCAGAACGCUCUAAAGGCUACAGAGUAUACAACACAGAAACCAAAAUUGUGGAAGAAUCAAUUCAUGUCAGAUUUGAUGAUAAGCUUGACCCUGAAAAGUCAAAGCUAGUUGAAAAUUUUGCAGAUUUAGAAAUCACUCUUGCAGGAUCUGAUAAAACUCCAGAAGCAACUGUCACUCAGAACUCUGAAGAAAUUAAAUCCCCAGAAAUCCCAAAGAAAGUCAAAAGUCGUAUCAAUGUAUCUGAAGAUUUGAUUCUGGGAAACAAGGACGAACCUGUCAGAACCAGAUCUACCUUCAGGACCUCUGAAGAUACUCCUCUGGGACUAGUGUCUCUGAUUGAGCCUACGUCCUGUGAUGAAGCACUUCAAGAUAACGACUGGGUUUCAGCCAUGCAAGAAGAAUUAGAUCAAUUCACAAAGAAUGAUGUCUGGGAUCUUGUUCCUAAGCCCAGAGGCACUCACGUUAUUGGAACCAGAUGGGUAUUCAGAAACAAGCUGAAUGAGAAAGGAGAAGUCGUCAGAAACAAAGCUCGACUGGUAGCUCAAGGUUACAGUCAACAAGAAGGUAUUGACUAUAAUGAAACCUUUGCUCCAGUCGCAAGGUUAGAAUCUAUUCGUCUUCUUGUAUCUUUUGCUAUUAACCAUUCUAUUAAAUUAUAUCAAAUGGAUGUCAAGAGUGCAUUCCUUAAUGGUUAUAUAUCAGAAGAAGUGUACGUCAACCAACCUCCAGGUUUUGAAAACUCAAAUUUUCCAGAACAUGUUUUUAAACUUAAAAAAUCUUUAUAUGGACUUAAACAAGCUCCCAGAGCUUGGUAUGAACGUUUAAGUAACUUUCUUCUGGAACACAAUUUCAUUAGAGGGAAAGUUGACUCCACACUCUUCUGUAAGAACCUUAACAAUGAUCUCAUGAGAUGCCAGAUAUACGUUGAUGAUAUCAUUUUUGGUUCAGCUAACGCCUCUGUUUGUCAAGAAUUUUCUGAGUUAAUGCAGGCAGAAUUUGAAAUGAGCUUAAUGCAAGAACUAAAGUUCUUUUUAGGGAUUCAAAUUAACCAAACUUCAGAAGUCACGUACGUUCAUCAAAGCAAAUAUAUAAAAGACGUUCUGAAGAAAUUUGACAUGGCUGAAUGCAACUCUGCAAAGACUCCCAUGCAUCCAACAUGCAUUCUAAAGCAAAUAUAUAAAAGACGUUCUGAAGAAAUUUGACAUGGCUGAAUGCAACUCUGCAAAGACUCCCAUGCAUCCAACAUGCAUUCUUGAAAAGGAAGAAGUCAGUAAAAAGGUUUGUCAGAAGCUCUAUCGUGAUAUGAUAGGCUCCCUUCUCUAUCUGACUGCUACUCGACCUGAUAUUCUCUUUAGUGUCUGUCUAUGUGCCAGAUUCCAAUCAGAUCCUAGAGAAACUCACUUAACAACAGCUAAGAGAAUUUUCAAAUAUCUGAAAGGAACUCCUAACUUGGGCCUGAUGUAUGAGAAAACAUCAGAGUAUAGACUUUCGGGUUACUGUGAUGCAGAUUAUGUAGGAGAUAGAUUAGAACGAAAAAGCACAUAUGGAAAUUGUCAGCUCCUAGGAAACAAUCUGAUAUCCUGGGCCAGCAAAAGACAGUCAACUAUCGCUCUAUCAACUGCAGAAGCAGAAUACAUCUCAGCAUCACUGUGCAUAACUCAGAUGCUCUGGAUGAAGAAUCAGUUAGAAGAUCUGCAAAUCUUCGAGAGUAACAUUCCUAUCUUUUGUGAUAAUACUGCUGCCAUUUGUNNNNNNNNNNNNNNNNNNNNNNNNNNNNNNNNNNNNNNNNNNNNNNNNNNNNNNNNNNNNNNNNNNNNNNNNNNNNNNNNNNNNNNNNNNNNNNNNNNNNNNNNNNNNNNNNNNNNNNNNNNNNNNNNNNNNNNNNNNNNNNNNNNNNNNNNNNNNNNNNNNNNNNNNNNNNNNNNNNNNNNNNNNNNNNNNNNNNNNNNNNNNNNNNNNNNNNNNNNNNNNNNNNNNNNNNNNNNNNNNNNNNNNNNNNNNNNNNNNNNNNNNNNNNNNNNNNNNNNNNNNNNNNNNNNNNNNNNNNNNNNNNNNNNNNNNNNNNNNNNNNNNNNNNNNNNNNNNNNNNNNNNNNNNNNNNNNNNNNNNNNNNNNNNNNNNNNNNNNNNNNGUUUGUCAGAAGCUCUAUCGAGGUAUGAUAGGCUCUCUUCUCUAUCUGACUGCUACUCGUCCUGAUAUUCUCUUUAGUGUCUGUCUUUGUGCCAGAUUCCAAUCAGAUCCUAGAGAAUCUCAUUUAACAGCUGUUAAGAGAAUUCUUAAAUAUCUGAAAGGAACUCCUAACCUGGGCCUGAUGUAUAAGAAAACAUCAGAGUAUAGACUUUCUGGUUACUGUGAUGCAGAUUAUGUAGGAGAUAGAUUAAAACGAAAAAGCACAUAUGGAAAUUGUCAGCUCCUAGGAAACAAAUCUAUAUCCUGGGCAGCAAAACAGCCAACUAUCGCUCUAUACAACUGCAGAAGCAGAAUACAUCUCAGCAUCACAUGUGCUAACUCAGAUGUCGGGAUGAAGAAUCAGUUUAGAAGAUCUGCAAAAUCUUCAGCAGAGCAGUAACAUUCUAUCUCUGAUGAUAAUACUGCUGCCAUGUCUAAGUUAAGGAACCCCAUUUUACACUCCAGCAGCUAAGCACAAUUGAAUAAAACUCAUUUAUUAUCAGAGACUAUGUUCAGAAAGGCGAUAGUUAACAUUGAAAUUCAUUGAUACAGAUCACAAUGGGCAGAUAUCUUACUAAGCCUUAGCUGGAAGAUAGAUUCUUUUUAUCUUUAGAAAUCUGAACAUUCAAAAUUGCUCCUAAAUAAAUUUGUGCCUCUGAAGAUGUUAAAUAAGACUCCUGACAUAAACAAAUGACUUCUGCCUCUGACUCUGAUACUUUCUACCAAGUAGAAGAUAUCUGAUGUUAGAAAUCUCAAAUCUCCAGGAACCAUUCGUUUGGUAUUCCUGAAGAUCAGAUAAAGCAAACACGUGGAGUGAAUUGCGUCUAACCUUGGAACUUCUAGACAGCUGUCCAGAAGAAAUUCAAAGGACAGACAUUUGAAAUCUCCUCGAGCAGUGUGCAUACUGUUGGGAUUAGACAUUCAUUAAUGAGCCAUAAUCAUUUCUCCCUCUAAGCGUGCUAACUUGGUUUCUGUGCUAACGCUGAUUUGUGUGUCGUUUUGCACGCCUUUUGUUUAGGGUAUUUAAACACUCCUCUCACACUUCACACACACUUCACUCUCACUCACUUUCUCAAACCAGCUCUCUCAGGCAUUUCUGCAAGCAGUUCAUCUUCAUCAACAAUGGAUUCUCAACAACAAUCCGUGUUCAACUACGCUCAACAAAUGGACUCCAGCAACGCAGCUCAAAGCACAAGCACUCCUACUCCAACAGUUACAGGCGUAACUAUAACACCAGUUUACAAGGAGCCUCAUAUUCUUGACCGUGAGCCUCAUAUCAAUCUUGCAACUCCUUUUGAGAAACUGGAUGUUUUGUGUGAAUCACUUGUGGAUUUCAACAACAUGAAGAGGAAUGGAGUAGACCUAACUGAAGAACUCUGUCAACAAGGUUGGGAAAACUACUUUCAACGGCUCUAUGGCCCUGUUUACCCAAACCUCAUCAAGGAAUUCUGGAGAUUUGCUGACGCUGACGACCACUUCAUAGUCUCCUAUGUAUUGGGGGUAAAAAUCGUGAUUACUGAAAAAUCAAUAGCCUCCUUGCUGAACAUGGAGAAAGCUGGAGGAAGAAGGAUUUAUAACAUCAAUCCUAGGGCAAAGUACAUUGCUCAUGAAAUCAACCCCACCAUCUUCAAACUCAACACAGAAGGCAAUCCCUCAAAGAACAAAGAACUACAUCAGAAUCUCCGAGUGUGGCUCAAGAUCAUUCUGGGAACCAUUCAUCACCGCCCAGCAUCAAACUCCUCAGACUACAUCAAUACAGAUCAGAAGUGUAUUCUGUACUGNNNNNNNNNNNNNNNNNNNNNNNNNNNNNNNNNNNNNNNNNNNNNNNNNNNNNNNNNNNNNNNNNNNNNNNNNNNNNNNNNNNNNNNNNNNNNNNNNNNNNNNNNNNNNNNNNNNNNNNNNNNNNNNNNNNNNNNNNNNNNNNNNNNNNNNNNNNNNNNNNNNNNNNNNNNNNNNNNNNNNNNNNNNNNNNNNNNNNNNNNNNNNNNNNNNNNNNNNNNNNNNNNNNNNNNNNNNNNNNNNNNNNNNNNNNNNNNNNNNNNNNNNNNNNNNNNNNNNNNNNNNNNNNNNNNNNNNNNNNNNNNNNNNNNNNNNNNNNNNNNNNNNNNNNNNNNNNNNNNNNNNNNNNNNNNNNNNNNNNNNNNNNNNNNNNNNNNNNNNNNNNNNNNNNNNNNNNNNNNNNNNNNNNNNNNNNNNNNNNNNNNNNNNNNNNNNNNNNNNNNNNNNNNNNNNNNNNNNNNNNNNNNNNNNNNNNNNNNNNNNNNNNNNNNNNNNNNNNNNNNNNNNNNNNNNNNNNNNNNNNNNNNNNNNNNNNNNNNNNNNNNNNNNNNNNNNNNNNNNNNNNNNNNNNNNNNNNNNNNNNNNNNNNNNNNNNNNNNNNNNNNNNNNNNNNNNNNNNNNNNNNNNNNNNNNNNNNNNNNNNNNNNNNNNNNNNNNNNNNNNNNNNNNNNNNNNNNNNNNNNNNNNNNNNNNNNNNNNNNNNNNNNNNNNNNNNNNNNNNNNNNNNNNNNNNNNNNNNNNNNNNNNNNNNNNNNNNNNNNNNNNNNNNNNNNNNNNNNNNNNNNNNNNNNNNNNNNNNNNNNNNNNNNNNNNNNNNNNNNNNNNNNNNNNNNNNNNNNNNNNNNNNNNNNNNNNNNNGUACAUUGCUCAUGAAAUCAACCCCACCAUCUUCAAACUCAACACAGAAGGCAAUCCCUCAAAGAACAAAGAACUACAUCAGAAUCUCCGAGUGUGGCUCAAGAUCAUUCUGGGAACCAUUCAUCACCGCCCAGCAUCAAACUCCUCAGACUACAUCAAUACAGAUCAGAAGUGUAUUCUGUACUGCAUUCACAAGGGGUUGAAGCUCUUCCUCCCAGCACUACUCUUCAAAUAUCUCAGAGACUCCGUACGGGAGACCAGGAACAACAUGAAACCCAGAGCCUACAUCCCUCUGGGAAGACUUCUCUCUGAUGUACUAAUAGAAAAUGGGCUCGUAGACCAUCUGGAGAAACACAAACUCAUGGAAGAUAUGGCAAUAGAAACUGGAAGGCCUCUGAACUCCAGAAAUCUGAAGAGCAUGGGGAUUCUGAAGAAGAUUCAAGUCAAACCUACUCUGGACACAUCUUGGGAAGCCCUAAAAGAUCAGAGGGAUAUGCCAAAUGGUCUCGCAAGGUUCUACAAGGAUGAACCCGUAGAAUCAAUUCUCCACUAUCUUCAACGUCUAAAGGAUGAAGGAAUGGACAUCUCUGACUUCAAGUUAAGCGAUCUGCCAGACUCAGAACCAGACUUCGUGAAGUACAAAAGAGGUCCAUCUGAGAAGUCUUCAAGAGCGAAGAAAGCAAGGCUAGGAGAAUCUUCUGAAUCAAGACCUCCAGCGCCUCUGCAAGAAUCUUCUGGUAAGUUUGCCUCUACUGUUCCCUCUGUACAGCCAUUGGCUUCUUCUACUCCUCUACCAACACCCAUCUACACCUCAUCUGAAACCCCUCCUUCUACAACCAGAACCUCUCAACCUCUACCAAAAUUCAAUCUUGCCAACACCUCUUUACCACUAUCCGAAGCUGAAGAAUUAAAUCAAACCACUUCCUCAUCCUCAGCCCCAGAAUCACCUCCCUACUUUAUCCUUUCCUCAGAUACAGAACACUCUGACCCCUCCUCUCCAACCCUAGCCCAACAUCAGGCUCAAAACUUUGCCUCUCAGCAACCAACACAACCUCCAUCUGAAGUAACCUCACCACCCACAGAACAACCAACCAUCACUCCAUCUGAAGUUCAACCCUCUGACCUUCAUAUCUUUGACACUAUCCCUCCAAACACUUCCGCUGAACCUGAACCUCAAACACUCAACCUAAGCCCUCCAACCUCUCCACCUCAAACAUCUGAACCAGAACAUUCCCUUCCUACCCUAGAGGAAGCCAUUAUGCUGUUCGUAGGGGCUUCAGUGGAAAAGGUCAAGUCUCUGACCAUAAACUCUGGCAUCAGUGAUGAUCCAUCCUCUGUAAGGACACACUGGAACAGAGUCAUUGGCUGGAUGACUUCUGAGGCAUUCAAGCUGAAACACUUCUCUGAGCAAGUCAGAAACGACUUCAUCAGAGACGCUGAGGCAAGACUACAGGAGCGUCUGGCCAGAGAAGCUGAAGAAGAAGCCAGAAGGCAAGAAGAAGAAAGAGCCAGACAAGAAGAAAUCCAAAGGGCAAGGGAAGCUGAAGCCAAAGCACUAGCCGAUGCUGCUGCUGCUGCUGAAGCUGAAGCACAAGCUGUUGCUGAAGCUGAAGCUAAAGCCGCUGCUGAAGCACAGAAUGCUCUGACUCAGGGGGAGUCCUCUACAUUUGUCCCUCUGGUUCUCAAGACGCUUGAAGAACUUCAGAAAGACCAGAAGGAACUCCGAGCCAGAAUGGAUCAACAGGACUCAGUGAACGUCAAUAUCCAGAACCUACUGACUCAACUGCUUCAGAGAAUGCCUCCUCCUCCCAACCCUUAGGCACUUAGGAUCUUUUGCUUGUUGCCUUGCUUAUCUUUGUUUUUGAUGUUUGGUUUUCUUGCCAUUUUCUCUGAUGUUCUAUUAUCUGAAUAUAUAAUGUUUUGUUGAUUAUUCUGGUUAAGUCUUUUUGAUUCUGACAAAAAGGGGGAGAAAUCAAAUAGCUCUGAUGAAAAAUUGCCUAAUACCUUAAGCACUCUGCAAACAUACUAUUCCUUAAAAAUAAAUUCAUCUAACACUGGGACUUUAAGAAAUAGCAGAAGGUAUCGAGGAACUUCAUCUCUGGAAGCUCUGGUAAGAACUUCUGAACUCCCUAGCCUAUCUCAAGGGAGCUCAUUUCUAUCUGAUCUGAUAAACUUAAAUUUUUAAUGUUUCAUCUGUCUUUUGAGCUUGUUUUGCCAUCAUCAAAAAGGGGAGAUUGUAAGAACAAAAAUUGUCUACAACAGAUUCCAGGAUUUUGAUGAUAACAAAGGAUGAAACCAAAAAUGGCACCUAACGAAAAGUUUCUAAGUGUGCAGGAUUCUAAACAAGACGAAAGGAAUCUGAUUACGUCAUCAGAUACAGAAUCAAAUCAGAUACAAAUUAUCAGAAGAUCAGAAGCAUCUGAAGUGGAAACGCGCUCUAGAAGUUCUGAGUCCAAACAACAGCGGAUCAAAAUAUCAGAAGCAUCUGAAGAAGAAGCGCGCUCUAGAAGUUCUGAGUCUGAGCAACGGGAUAUCAGACUAUCAGAAGCUCUAAAGUCACCUCUCUAAGAAUCUCGGAUUAUUAGAGCAACUCAGACUCUAAUAAUGGAUUUCCUUAUUCAGAAUGAGUAACGGCAACUUCAAAUUCAAAUGGAAAGAAUCUAUUAUUGGAAAGAAGUUAUUUAGGGAGACAAAGUUGUUUUGGCAAGAAACAACAGAAGUUAUGGCAUUGAUUCCUAAUCAAGACUAAAUUAUCUGCCAUCAAUUUCAACUUCAACGGGCCUUUCACCUCUAUAUAAAGGACAGCAAAGAGCAUUGAGAGAUACACCAACGCACAAAAACUUUUUCCUCUCUCUCUCAAUCUUUCAUGAAGCUUUUGCUUAGAACGUGAAACAUUCUUUUGUUCUUACUGUUGUAAUAUUUGCUUUAUCCUAGAAGCACUCUAGAUUACAAAGUCCUUUUUAUCUAUUGCUUUAUUUCCUCAAGUGACUCUGCGCAGUCUGUAUACUUGAGAGGACUAAGAGAUCCUUCUCUUAGACGUUGGUUGUAAACAAUCUUUCAAGAUUAGUGGAUUAAGUCCUUUUUGAAGGCGAAAUCACCUUGGCCGGGUGGACUGGAGUAGCUUUGUGUUAUAAGCGAACCAGUAUAAAAUCCUGUGUGAUUUUAUUUUGCAAAUAACGCUUAUUUUCCAAAACAAUUCAAACCCCCCCUUUCUUGUUUUUCUCACCUUCAAUACUUUCCGCUCCCAGGACAGAGUAUACAAGCAAGUGAACAGUCGCGCGCGGACGUCAAUAUUGUUCAGUAAAAACAACCUAACAAAUAUGCCAUUUUUGAGUCGAACUACUAAGCUCUGACUUCCUUAUUGCACGUAUGAGGAUACGUAGGCACAAGGGCCCAAAUCCUUGGCGAGCACACUAAAUUAAAACUUAUUUUCUCCCCAUCUUAUUCUCUCAUCUCAUUCCUAAUAGCAAGCAACUUACAGAUAAUUAAACAUCCUUACGCAUUUGAUACGAGCAAGUGGUUCCCAUGGAGUACCAUGGAUGUGAGGGGUGCUAAUACCUUCCCCUUGCAUAACCGACUUUCGAAUCCGGUAUUGGUUGCGAGACCGUUUCUCUCAUUUGGGGUUUUAUCUUUAUUUCCCCUUUCCUUUGGAAUAAAUAAAAUUUGGUGGCGACUCUGUAUUUUUCCCGGCGCUUCAGGGAUGUUUGCAUCUUUGUACACACCAUACGUACAGUUUUGUUCAUGAUCAAUAAAAUUCAGUUUCUGCUUCUCUUGUAUUUUAUUUGCGAAAUAACUGAUUCAUUUUAACCACAUAAUGCUUCAAAAUUUUGGAGAAUAAUAAAAGGUACAUUAAAAUAAAACUUUAUGCAUUACCGUAAACUCCCGAAAAGCUUAAAAAGAUGAUUGGUAGUUUGGAAGUUUUGCUUGAACACCUGUAGCAUCUUGAUGAUUGUCCGGUUAUAUCAUGUAUCCUGUUAUUCCUCAGCAAGGUUAGAUGGAUGCUUAACAGAAGUGCUAACACCUUGAUUUCACAAUAUCAGUCUCUUUGGUAUAAUUGAUAAUGAGUCGGAGUUCCCUCUGUACCAAAAAACCAUACCCCGUGAAUGUCACCCGUCUAACCAUAUAAACACUCAUGAUUCAUGAAAAUAAAGCAUACAUCAUGCAACAUGCAUAUCAUACUCUCCAUCCGGAAUUCCCCCACAGAAUACCAAAAACAUAUAUGUACCUGAGCAGUAUGACCAUUCUCAAUAGGAUUUUUUUUGGAUACGUUAGUAUUUAAUCCUCUUCUACCUAGAGUACCUGAAAAUCUUCCGCAAUUCUUAUACUUAGGUUCAAGAAUAUUAAAUAGGGGCAGCUGCUGUACCCCCAAAUUUUCCCUCCCAUUUUCAUCUUUUCAUACAACCCUUGACUUGGGAAUCAUAUGUAUACAUUCAUGCCUCUUUCAUAUGCAUCAUUCAUCCAUUAGUUGAUCACUAUAGAUUCAAAGCUCUUGGCUUGCAAAGCUAGGGUUUAUGUAUGGAUACAACUUCAAAAGUAUGGCUUGGCUAUUCAUCUGAUCACAUGAGAUGUAAAACCCUAAUUGCCUGAUCUUGGAGGUGUGGAUUCAACAAGGUUCCAUCAAGGCAGUCCUGAGGGCUUUCAAACCCUAAUUCUUGAUUAUAUGGUUAUGGAUCUCUAUGGAGCUUCUCCGGGCUUUGUCUUGCCUAUCUAAACCCUAAUUAGGGGAUUCGCAUAUUGAAGACUUGUUUAUGAAGCAUCAUGAUUGAUUCAAAGACCUUGGUUGAAGGACAUGCUUCAUGUAACCCUAAUCAAGGAGGAUUUGGUCCUAAGGCUUGACUUCUCAUCUGGAUGACCUCCAAACCCUAAUUUCAUCCCCUUCUUCACCUAUUGUGUGUUUGGUACCAUUGCUUGAUCAUUGUCCCUCAUAACCACUUAUUUUUGGUCCAUUCAUGUUGAUUACAUGGUUGGUUCCAUUCAUUUGUGCUUAAGGACAUUGGUCCCAACUCAAGUCUUGGGUUUAUCACAUUCAUUUUCUUCCAUUCUCAUGGCAUUUCAUCUGGCCAUAUCUCCAUGUUUAGCCCAUAACUUGUGCAUGCAUUGCUUGGUUUCAAAGCCUUGGUGUUUUAUUCAUGGAUCUUUGGUUAGGUCACAGUCAUUGUCCACUUUGGUCAUGGCUAGGGUUGAAGAAUAAAUCUAAGUCUUAUAUCAUCUAUACACUCCCAUUGUUUUAAGUCAUGGUCCAUUCAAACUCAAGUUUUGUCAUGUAUCAUUCAUUCAAGGUUUUAUUUCAUAGGGUUAUGUAGUUGAUUGUUCAAAGUUCAUUGGCCAUAUCAUAUAAUUCAUUACAUACCAUGACUUGAUUAAUCCAAUUCAAAGUUAAUUAUAAGUCUUGAUUCAUGUUCCUCUAAGGUCAUAUUCAUGGUUCAUUUUAAUCAAUUUUAAAUCAUGUUCAUACAAGAUCAUUACAAGCAUAAAAUUCAUUCAAAUACAAGUAUCAAUUUCAUUCAAAUGGUCACUACUAUCCAUUACAAUGUCCAUUCCCUGAGAAAGAAUACAAAAAAAUGAAAUUUGAUCAAAUUUUGACUUUGGUCAACUUUGACCAAAGUAAACUUAAUCAUUUUACAUCCCAAAAACCCUAAAUUCCCAUCCUAAGCCAUAAAUCAUAUUUCUAUUCUCCAAAAUUGAUCCUUGAUAUUGGAGGUUCCCUUUUCCACAUGUUAAUACAAAAUCCCAUCUUGAAGUCAUGUUACAAACCUUUGUCCAACCAUCCAUUUCAUGGCAUGCAUGACCUACAUGGACCAGUGCCAAAACAUGAGUGAAAUCAGCAAGUAUGCAAUGCAGGCAUGCUGCAUAAAACCACAAAGUCAGUUAUCCUUACAUUGAAGUGAGCCAAAUCAGAAUUAGAGUUAGUUAUGUACAACAUGAUACAUGCUACAGAAAACAAACACAUGCUAGCAUGAAACAGAACAACAUCAUGAGUACUGCACAAAAGACAGUCCUACUACAUCACAAUCACAUGUCAUGGUUGAUGGAUCUUAGAGGAUUCAGUAGUUGGUUUUUUCUUACAUGGUGCAUUCCACUGGCCUUUCACUUGAUGUUGUAGUAGAUGGCUUCUCAUUGAUGUUGCAUUCCACCUGCAGUGUCAUACAACAGUCCAGUUGCAAACAUCAACUAACCAAGCAACAUUCACAUUGCAUUUCCAACACCAGAAUAUUUUGCAUCAUCAUCCUACUGUCAGCAAACAAUUAACCUGCAACACACCUGUUGCAA
rnacentral:lncRNA from 1 species